rnacentral:lncRNA from 1 species
UUUUUUUUUUUUUUUGUCUACAAUUGAGCUACUGAAGUGUUUUUUUUAAAUUUUUUUUUUGUCUUUUUUUUAUUUAUUUUUAAUAUAACAUAUAGUUAUUAUAGUGUUUAGUGCAAUACAAAGGAAGAAAGAACUGGACUUAAGUACUGCUCGAACCAAAUCAAACCAAACCUUCCAAAAUUAGUUGGUUUUGAUUUCCCUAGUGAUAUUUGUUUAAAUCAAAUCGAACCAAAAUUAUUGCAAUCGAUUCAGUUGGGAUUUUAAAAUAUGUCCAAGCCAACUCCUACACAAACAGAAAGCACACAAAACAUUGAAAAGCCAAUGGUUUCGUAACAAGGCUAAUUUUCAAACACUAUUUUUAGCAUCGCAUACAUUUUCUUUAUUUCCAACCAUCCGAUUAAAUAAAUCAAAAUGAAAUUAAUAGCCUCGUUUAUCAAUGGCCCCAGUUGAUCCGUUUUUAGUAAAGGACACAACGACGUGCCCAAUCAUAAUCACCCACCUUAGACCAUCUCCAAUGGUGGCUUAUAACCUAAAUUUUCCAUUUUUUUCACCCCCAAAACCCACUUCAACCCAAAACCUAAAACUUAAAACUUAAAAAGGAAGGCAAAUACCAACCACAAUUUAACAUACAAAAUAAAAUGGGACCCACGGGUGAGAGUGAAAAGUGGGCUGUGAAGCCCACACCCUAAAAACCUAGACGCUGAAUGCGCAUCACACGCCCAACAAUUUCCAGUCGAGGUCCACCCCAUGUGGGUUGUCAGCCUCAGCGUGUCAUGUACACUGUAGCCCAACGGCUACUUUUCUUCAUCCAAUGGCCAGUGUAAUUGGACCGUUGGUUAAUCCAACGGUUCACGUUCAAAUAUUUUUUUUUAGUUUCAUAUUUAUAUAUUUAUUGAAUUCAACGGUUUAGAUUGAAUAUAAUUAAAUCUAACGGUAAAAAAAAAUCUAACGGUCCAAAUUUAAAUCUAACGGCUAAAAUAAUUUAUUGUAUAAAGUUUAUGUGGUUAUCAUGAUUUUCAUGUAUUUUUCAAAAUUUAUCGGAAUUUAAAUACUUUUAGGUUAAAAUGUUCAUAAAAUUAAUUUAGGAUAGUCUACAUAAUUUUUUUUAAAAGUUAAUUUAAAAAAAAAUUAGCCUUAAUUCAUUCUUUGAUAAUCUCAUGCUAAAAUAUAGGCAAGAAAAGUUGGAGUAGAAAAGUUGUUUUUAGCCUAAAACCUAAAUUUUCUGAGCUAAAUACUUUUAGGUUUUAGGUCACCAUUAGAGAUGAUCUUACAUCAUGAAUUCUAGCCCAUCAAAAAAUCCCAAUUCCAAAACCUUAAUUAUGAUACUGUAAACUUGGGGAGGCUGAGAAGAAGAGGAGAGUGGCAGUUCACAGUCACUGAUAUUUUUCACUGCAAUCUUUCACUGCUCCAAGUAGAAACGAGAAGGCAUUGUAUUUGGAUCGCUUCACACUUCACACCUCACACGCUCCCUCCAAAAAGCGUUUCUGGAAUUAUUUUAAAUUUCACUAAAAAAUUACAAUGGUAAGUGUUUCGAUCAAUUCACCAACACAAACCUUAUAAAAUUCGAUUGCUUUUCAGAUGAAAUCAUGUUAUUAGGUCAUAGUUCACUGUGAUUGGGGUUUGAUUUCGAAUUCGUUUUUAGUUCGGGUUGUGGAUGAUUAAGCGGGUCGAGGAGGAGGAAGGGACCGGUUUUGGAUGGAGCACCCACUAGAGAGUCGCGGUGGGCUGCGGCGUUUGGACUCCAAAAACGGGAAAGCUCCGCCGUCCCGGAACCUCUGGCUUGGUGACCUUUCACAUUGAAUCAUAGGGGACGGCCUCAUUAAUCCCUUUCUGCAGUUUGGAGAGCUAGAAAGCGUGGUAUUCCAUGCCGGUCGAAGUUAUGCCUUUAUUAAUUUCAAGAGGGAAGAUUAGGGAUGAGCAAAUACCCAUUAGUUAUGAGUAACCCGUCCAUUUAAAUUAAACGGUUACGGUUAUGGGUAACCGUUUAGAUAAAUAAAUGGGUAUACCCGUUUAUCUGUGAAAUUUAAAUUGGCGGUUAUGGGUAUUAACCGCGGUUAUCAAUGGAUAACCGUUUACCCAUUUAUUUUAUAUAUGUAAAACUAAUACAAAUCAUGUUCUCGAUCCAAUAAAUACUUAGCACCCAAUAAAUUAGCAAGGAAUUCAUCGGUCCUUCUCUCAAUAACAUUGCUAUAGGAAUGAUGAUUCUCAUCAUCAAGGAAUUCGCUAAAUUAAGUUAAAUUCCUUGCGGGUAACUGUGAAAUUGACAUAAAUUCUUUGACAUAAAUGUCUUCUAAACAAUUUUUGUAACCCAAUAAUACUUAGCAAAUAUUAUAUUUACCUUCAUUGGUAACAGUUAAAAGUAUCGCCGUAAACUAUUAUUUCAAUUAUUGGAAUGGUAUAAGGACUUAAAACAUUAAAAUACUUAAAUGUAUGAUGAAUGUACCUAUAACGGUGUUUAAUUGUCAAAAAAAAGAAAAUUAUGACAAUUUUUUUUUAAUUUUCAAGUUGUUAAAAAACAUGUAGACGGGUGAAAAGGGUAUAAUGGUAAAAAAAAAAGAUAAACGGGUUAAAAAAGGGUAAAUGGGUAAACGGGUAUUAAACGGUUACGGUUAAAUGGAUAUGCGGUUAUGAGUGUGGUUAACCGUUUAUUUACGGUUAUGGGUAUGAGUAUAACCGUUUAGGCAAUUACCCAACUGAUAAAUGGUUAUGUGGGUAUGAACAUAAACGAUUAUGGGUAAAUAAAUGCGGUUACUCGCCCGCCAUAACCAUUACCCAUCCCUAAGGAAGACGAAGCAAUUGCUGCCAUGGAGUUCCUCCAGGGUAGACUAUUUUGGAUCGGGUUUAAUUCGACCUGUUAAGUUAACGGAUCAUCCGAACCCAACUUGUUAAGCUAACGGGUCAUCGAACCCAACCCAUUAAGUUAACGGGUCAUCUGUUAACAAUUAUUAUUAUUAUUUUUUUGCAUAGGGUUUUUUUUAUUGGGUAAAAGACUGUUUACUACCCUCAUGUUUCGUGGUUUUCAAUAUUUAGUAUAUCAAGUUUUUUUCGUCUCAAAUUCAUACCUAAAGUGUAAAUUUUGAGACAGUCUCAUACAUAUGUUAGUCAAAUUGUUAAGUUUCCCGUUAACUGUGACGUGGCGCAAUGACUAGGCGUCACGUGUCAUCCACGUUUUUUCUUCUUUUUUUUUUCUUUUCUUCUUCUUUCUUCUUCCUUCUUCUUCUUCCUCCGACUGCAACUUUUUUUUUCUUCCUCCUCCUCCUUCCUUCCUCCUUCCUUUUUCCCUUUCUUCCCCUUCUUCCUUCUUCUUCCUUCUCUUUCUCCUUCUUCAUUCUUCCUCCGAAUCUGGGGAUUUUUUUUUUCUUCUUCUUCCUCCUUCUUCCUUCCUCUUCUUCUUCUUCCUCCGAAUCUACCCAGAUUUAGUUUUUUUUUUCUUCCUCCUUCUUCUCCUUCUUCCUUCUUCUUCCUCAAAAAAAAAAAAAAAACCUUCAUCUUCCCCAGAUUCGGGGGAAGAAGAAGGAGGAAGAAAAAAAAAGUUGCAGUCGGAGGAAGAAGGAGGAAGAGGAAGAAAGAAGAAGAAGAAGAAAGAAGAAAGAAGAAAAAAAAAUGAAUCUGGGCAAAUUCGGAGGAAGAAGAAGAGGUAGAAGAGGAAGGAAGAAGGAGGAAGGAGAAGGAAGAAGGAGGAAGAAGAAGAAAGAAGAAAGAAGAAAAAAAAAAGAAUCUGGGCAGAUUCGGAGGAAGAAGAAGAGGUAGAAGAGGAAGGAAGAAGGAGGAAGGAGAAGGAAGAAGAAAAAAAAAUGAAUCUAGCCAGAUUCGGAGGAAGAAGAAGAAGAAGAAGAAGAGGAAGGAAGAAGGAGGAAGGAGAAGGAAGAAGGAGGAAGAAGAAGAAAAAUAAAAUAAACUUCCCCAGAUUUGGAGGAAGAAGAAGGAGAAGGAGAAGGAAGAAGAAGGAAGAAGGGCAAGAAGGGGAAGGAAGAAGGAGGAAGAAAAAAAAAGUUGCAGUCAGAUGAAGAAGAAGAAAGAAGAAGAAAAAAAAACAUGGAUGACACGUGGCGCCUAGUUAGUACGCCAUGUCACAGUUAACGGGAGACUUAACAGUUUGACUAACAGAUGUAUGAGACUGUUCCAAAAUUUACACUUUAGGUAUGAAUCUGAGACGAAAAAAACUUGAUGUACUAAAUGUUGAAAACCACGAAACAUGAGGGUAAUAAACAAUCUUUUACCCUUUUUUUUUGUUAAGACUUGAUUGAAAUUACUAAAAUAUCUUCAACUAACGGGUGCUAACGGAUCUAAAGAGUUGACCCAAAGUAACCCGUUAUUUAACGGGUUCACCUGUUAACGACCCGACCCGUUAAGUAUCCACCCAAAUACUAAUAUUAACGGAUCGGGUCCAAAAUGCCAGGUCUACUCCAGGGUUUGCCUGUUGCAGGCAACCUGCUGAGGAUCGAGUUUACCAAGGCGGUUAGUUACUUUAUCUUCGAGAUACAUCUUUUCUAUCUUUGUUGUAAAUAUAUGCAAUGUUGUAAGCAUGGAAGAAAAUGCCGAUAAUAUCGGUGAUAUAUCGCCGAUAUUAUCGGUUUUUCACCGGACUGAUAUUUUAAUAGGUAUCCAAAGGAUUUUCGUCAAAAUAUCGUGAUAUUUCCGAAAUUAUCACGAUAUUAUAUAAAAUAUCGAUAAUAUCUUAGGAAUCGACGGUGAGCGCGCUGCAGCUAACGCCGAAAAGCAGCGAAACGACGACGCUGAGGAUGUCCUCGGUGCGAUCGCGCAGGCUUCUGAGCGGGGCGGAGUCGACUGAUUUCGGUGACGACGGUGACGAAGCUGGAGGGGGGAAGAUGAGGAGGGGAGACGGCGGAGGGAAAAGGAGUAGGAGGAAACGAAGAGGGUUUUGCAGGGCCUUGAUGCGGUGGCGGAGAUGGCGAAGAGGGAGAAGGUGAGGAGAGCGAUGAGGUGGUGUCGCCGUUGAUGUGGAAGUGAGAGUGUGGGUUGGUUCACGGGGAGAAGGAGAGAGUGCAGAGAGAGAGCACGGGUAGAGAUGAGAGAGUGAGGGAAAAGAGAGAACUGAGAGAAAAGAGAGAUCGCCUUCGUUGAUGUGGUGUGGAAGUAAGGGUGUGGGUUGAUUCACGGGGAGAAUGAGAGAGUGCAGAGAGUGCAGAGAGAGAGAGCACCACGGGUAGAGAUGAAAGAGUGAGGGAAAAGAGAGAACUGAGAGAAAAGAGAGAUCGAGGACACAAAAGCAAGGUGGGCCCCCUGGGCACACCUAUUAAGAUCCAAAAAUAAUUUUAAAAGUAAGAUAAACUCAAACUUAGUGAAAAUACAAUUUAAAUUGGGGGUGGGUGUAACAAUCUACCCCUUUUAAAAGAAUUUCGUCUCCGAAAUUUAAAAUCACUUACUAAACUGAAAUACUCUAAAAUAGGAAGAAGAAUAUAUGUAUAAAGAGAAAUCAAGUCCAAAUAAUUACAUCAUAUUAAAAUUUGAUUAAUUUUUUUUCAGUUACAUAUAUUAUAUAUGAUAAAUUUCUAUUUUAAAUCAAGUCCAAAUAAUUACAUCAUAUUAAAAUUUGAUUAUUUUUUUUUCAGUUACAUAUAUUAUAUAUAUGAUAAAUUUCUAUUUUAAAUCAAGUCCAAAUAAUUACAUCAUAUUAAAAUUUGAUUAAUUUGGAAGAAGAAUAUAUGUAUAAAGAGAAAUCAAGUCCAAAUAAUUACAUCAUAUUAAAAUUUGAUUAAUUUUUUUUUCAGUUACAUAUAUUAUAUAUGAUAAAUUUCUAUUUUAAAUCAAGUCCAAAUAAUUACAUCAUAUUAAAAUUUGAUUAAUUUCUUUUCAAGUAUCUACUUUUGAACUACUCACCACGUUCACUCUAUGUGAUACUAAGUCACUCAUGUAUCUUACCAUACAAUGUAUAAAGUGUAAAAUAUUGUACUAAUUCAUUAUAUAUAAAUGAUUAUGGUGUGUUUAAACUUCUUUCAUUAAUUACUACAUAUUUUCUACACUCACAAUGUUUGUCAGCUCGCUAUAUAAUCAACUUAAAUCAGUUAAAUCCAUCAUGCAAUGCAUUUCCUUCCAAUUUUUUGUAAUAAACUAAUAGAUAAUUGACUAAAUAAACAUCCUGCAAAGUUUCAUUAAAAAAUUCCAAGUUUUUCUUACAAUUUCCGUGGUUUCCAUGUAAUUUUUAUCGAUAUCGAUAUUAUCCCGAUAUUUCCAUCGAUAUUUCCGUGUUUUCGGACUACUGAUAUUUCCGAUAUUACCGAUAUUUUCUUCCUUAGUUGUAAGUAUGCACUGAGUAUAUGUGUGUAUAAUAUAAGUUGUUAUCUGAAUUGAAGGCCACUGUAGCUGUCUGGUUCCAUUGUCUUUGAGUUUGUGCAAGAAUGUAUUCCACAGUUCACCAAAUCAUAAUAUCUAAUUAACUAAUGAAAAGCAUAACUAUUAUAACAGUGCCACAUUCAACAAAAUACAUUAAUCGAUAAGAUACUCCAAAUCCAGCAUAAUCACUAAACUGGCAAGCAAUGUUAAUGUCUACAACAAUUAACAACAAAAAAUUUAAGUCCAUUUUUAAUGGGGCGCACUUCUAAGGCUAAAGCCAUGUUCCUUGCUCUCAUUCCGCGGUUUUCAUCAUGAUCAUUCCUAGCAAUAUUACACAUUUGAUACCUUCAAGAUUAAUUCUUUGAAGGUGAAACACAUGCAAGGGGAUGCAACCCAAUCGCGCUUUUCUUUCCAUGUGUUUAAUGACAAACCUUGUGACUAAACAUAAUAAUUAUGGGUUGCUUGCCUAUCUAAGAAGGUUGAACAGCCACAGGAAAUUCUUUUCCCUUGUAUCCUUGCAUAAGAGUAGCCGGAAACCAUGUACAAGUUGGACACAUUGAGGUUUAACUGCAAAAUAUGUAAAAUGGCAGGGACAUUUAUGCCGUGGCCAGCAUAUCCUAAACCUCCCAUAAGUAAUUUAUUGCUACUUAAUAAAGAAGGGCAACGCACACCAUUUUUUCCCUUUUUAUCAAUUCUUGUCUAACUGGAGUCACAAUGCACAUUUUAUCAACAAUGCUGGGGUUGAUAGUUUUCUCACUGCAAAUCAUAAUUGGGUCGGGUUGAGUGCUCAACUACCAAUGUUCAAGGUAGUUGUGAUUGUUAGCCCAUUUACUCAAGUGAAAUUAACAGGUUUCAGGGGUUACUAUGUUUGGUAGGAAUAGAUCCCACACUGGAGAAAAGUUAUAGGAAUCUAUCUGUUUUACUACUCGAGUGUUAGAGCUUUGAGCAAAUAGCAUUAGACCAUGCUGUUAGAUCUUUGAGAGAGCAAAGGAACACCUCUUUAUUCAAAGAACAGAGAGGCACAAGGCCAAACAACCGCAGAGAAACAACCUCCGCAACCCCAGAAGAUACAGACACAGAUAAAUAGGAUCAAGAAAGACACCACCUCAAUAGGUACCAGCGUCGCCCUAUUACCAGUGCAACCCAUCCCCAAUUACAAAGGAGGACAGGGAAGACCAUUUUUGUUCAAAAUGCCAACUAGCGAAGAUGGAGGUUGAACAACCCAACCAAAGCUGCACAUCUUCGGUGAAAUAUUCCUUGCGACAAAAUCCGCCGCCAUAUUUGUCGAUCAUGGAAUCCACGACCAGGAGCAUGAAUGAAAACUCCUCCCAACAUCCAAGAUACGGCUAAGAAUUGGGAGAAGGUCCCAAUCACAGCUCAAAGAAGGGGAAUUGAGGGACCGAAUAACCCCUUGUGCGUCCGACUCAAUUACCACCUCCUGCACUACUGGACUUUAAAUACGCAUGUUUGAAUUCAUCAUUUGUUACUUUCUUUGUUAUCUGUUAAUUUUCCUCUCUUGUUCAUAAUUAUUUGCAAUCUACCUUGCAACCUAGGAAAUUUGUAAUGACCUUUUCAAAAUAGUUAUGACCAUAGAUAUUAGACAAUAGUUUUGGCCUAUUGAAAAGAGAGGUUGAAUAUGCCUCCUUGUUAAAAAAGAAAGCAUACAAAAUUGGAGAGCGGUAAGAUAUUCAUCAAAAUCAUUUAAUUGCCUCAUCAAUAAGUUUAUAAAGGAAAAAAAAAUUGAUUUGACAGAAAUAACAGAAUAUGGAGUUGUCACUGGAGAAAAAUCAGAAGCCUUUUAUUGGAUUAAAAGAAUUCCUUACUAGGUAAGAAUUCAACCUUAUCUCCAGAUGUUGGAGUAUAAUAAAAGGAGACCAUUUUAGCAUAAAGCUUGGUGAUGUGAAUCAUAUAUCAUAUAUCAACAUUUCUAUAUGCGUUGUAUAAGCUCCUUCUGUUCUUACUUUUAUGAAUCUUUAAUCACAGGAUAAAUCAUCAGCACCAUCGCGUGAAGAAGGUUACUCCUAACGUUGAGAUGAACAGCAUUCAGCUCCAAGAGGAUCACCUUUCUUGCAAAGGGAGUUUCGAGCACGCCAGAAUAGUCCUGAGCAAUUUUAGCUCAUCAGUACAGCUGGAGAAUGUUAUCACGUUGCAGGUUGGAACGUCUGAGCACAUUAUUGAAUUCCGCAGAUAAAAGCAUCUACUGAGAGAUGUUUGCCUAUCUUUACAAUCUUUGCCUUGGGAGGCCAGUGCAGUUUAGAGCAGUUUUGUCUUUCCUCCGAUUGUUCACUUGUUUAAUCCAGGUCAACAGUGUUAUAUUCCUGCAGUUGGUUUCACAAUCUUGAUUCUCACACUCAUUGAAAAAUCUGUAGCAGUUAUUGACAAAGUGUUUGCUUACUCUUGCUAGCAUGAUUUACAGUGUUUCGAGUCAUAAAAUGUUAUUCACAGUGCCAGGAUGUAAUUUGUUCUAGUUGAUUCUUGUGCUGACAUAUCUAUUCUGAUUUGAAUAAUUAGACACAUUUAGCAGUUACCACAGCAUGUUUAAAUUUUGUAGGAUGUGAACCAGCAUUGUUUUUAAGUGUUUUCUAAUGUUUGAGUGCAUCUCGUAGUAAGUCGUCCAUCAGCCCUUGGUUAAACUUUUGUGUGUACGUGUCAUGUGUGCUUUCUACACGAGACUGUCUGGAUAAUUUGUACGUAUAUAGAAGUAAGCCAAAUAUUUGGAGUACAAAUUCAGUAGGGAUGUCUAAAAUAGUAUUAGUUUUAUCCAAAAAGAAAAAGGGAAAUUGAAUAACAGCAUUACUAAGGUUGAAUAUAUUUAGUGCACCGUAGAUGGGUUAUGAAAGAACACUUAAUGCAUGAGCUGGUCGAAAAGGAUGUUCAGCAUACAUUGGUCGUUGGAGUAAUCUUUAUAAGAUUGAACCCGUUGGUUUCAUUUGGCAAGUUGGUAGUAAACUCACAUAUGAGAAACAGUACGGAAUUAAUGGUUCAAAGUUAGAAUCAACAUUUCAAUAUGCGUUGUAUAGGCUUGUUCUGUUCUUACUUUUAUGAAUCUUUAAUCACAGGAUAAAUCAUCAGCACCAUCUCGUGAAGAAGGUUACUCCCAACGUCGAGAUGAACAACGUUCAGCUCCAAGAGGAUCAUCUUUCUUGCAAAUGGAGUUUCGGGAAAGCCAGGAUAGUCGUAAGCAAUUUUAUCAGGAAAAUUCAAUAUAUGAGUGAUAAGAAUGUAGAGCCUGGUGCGCUGUUUUAUGGAUAGGUUUUCCUGCUUUAUUGAAGGUGGAUGAAAUGAUAUCAAGGAAAGCUUUCUCACCAUUUGGUGAGAUUGAGAAGAUCUCUGCAUUCCUGGUCGUAGUUAUGCUUUUGUGCUAUUUAGGAGUGAAAUUUCAGCAUGCAGAGCAAAAGAAGCUCUUCAGGGAAGAUUAUUUGGAAAUCCCCGGAUACAUAUUUGCUUUGCAAAGAGUGAAACAGGCUCAGCAAACAGUGGAAGGAAUUCAAUGAAUGUCCCUCCAUCCCCACAUUUUCAGGUGAAUGGUCGCUCAGGAUCAUCUGAGUAUUUUUGGGAGGACACGAAAUUUGGGAGCUUCACAGGGAAUCCCAGCAUCAGAUCCCCUCAGUAUUUCCCAGAUUUUGAUGCUGGUGAUUCCGAUCCCUGUGGUUUUAAGAGGAAAGGGAAUUUAUGGAGAGGUGAAAGCGAUACGUUUGAACAGAGGAGAUACGGGGAAAUGGGGUCUGAACUAUGACUAUCAGAAGAUAUGUAUGAUCAUCAGGGUAGUCCUAAAAGAGAGAAAUAUGCUCAUUUACAUGAUUAUUCACAGAGAUUUCCUCAGACAACUCAACCUUAUGAAGAACCAUGGGACUUGCCAAAAGAUAUUAAUUACUUUCAUGGGGCCAAGAAAAUGAAGACAGAGUCUUUUCUUUCGAACAAAGAGCUUCCAGAGUAUGCCCAAUCUGACUGCAACCCAGAAAGAGCUUCCAUAGUAUUCCCAAGCUUACAGUUCCAAUAGAAACUUUGAGGGUGGGCCUUUUGGUUACAACCAGUUACCUUAUCGACCAAUGAAUCUACUUCUAGCUCUAGGAGAAACUCCUGUCAGUCAUGCUCGUUGCUUUCCUGUGGGCAAACUCCUUGACAUCACUUUGUAAGUAGUAAAUUUUUUUUCUGUAACUCAAAUUUUCUGCUUACUUUCAUGAUUAAUUGAACAGAAUCAUUGGCUGGGAGAAAAAAAAGAAAAAAAAGAAAAAGUGGAAUGAAUAAAAUCAAGAAUGUGAAAAGGCUAUAUUCACCUUUUGCCUGUUGUCUUUUAUCUUCAACAGUAGCUGAUUACUAUAACUUCGUGAUUGUUGCCUGUCUGUUGGUAACAUGCCAUUUUUAUUAAAUGCGCAAUAUGCAUUUUUUAUCAACUUUUUUACUCUUAUCAAAUUACUUAGUUCCAGUGUAUUUUGUUUUGUCAGAAAUGGAAGAGUUCCAAUUUAUUUUUCAUGCAUUUGAGAGUUCACAGGACUCUGGCUGCAUGAUAUUUUGGUUCAUGUAUCAAAUAUUCAACCAUUAGCUGCAAGGGAUUUUGUUUUCCGUUGUUUUUUCCCAGUAAGGAAAGGACUAUCCUUAGGUGACCCAAUUUUAUUGAAAUUCAGCAAUAUUGAUUGAUUAACAGACUACACAAUGAAAUUGUUUUUGUAAUUUUAUUGAUUGGUUUUGUCUAAUUCCGCUUGUCAAUUCAGUUCCUGAUUAUACUUUAUUGUUAUUCUAGUGUGUCUAAUUCAGAAGUACACGAUGUAAUCUAGAUAGACUAGUUUCCACUGCUCUGAAGGCAAAAUACAUAUUUUCAAACGUUUUGUAACGAAUGAUAGUUAUCAAAGUUUUGGAUCUAAACCAUUAUUAUCACCAAUGUUCUGCUGCAGGCCUGAAUUUUUGGAUUGUACUGCAAGGACUGGUCUAGACAUGCUUUCAAAGCAUUACCAUCAAGCAGCAAGUGCUUGGGUUGUGUUCUUUGCCCCUCAAAGUGAUGCUGAUUUUGGAUGCUACAAUGAAUUUAUGCAUUACCUUGGGGAAAAGCAGCGAGCAGCCGUUGCGAAGUUAGAUGACAAGAAUACCUUGUUUCUUGUGCCCCCAUCGGACUUCUCGGAGAAAGUGCUGAAGGUACCAGGGAAACUCAGCAUCUCCGGUGUUGUUUUGAGGUUAGAGAAUCCUAGUUCAAAUUUUCGAUCCCCUCAUCAAGAACCUGAAAGAAAAGAUAUGAGAUUAUUGUCAUUGCCAUGGGAUCAUAUACAAAGCCAUCAACACCUUCAGGAUCUAUUCAUUCAUAUACAUCAGCUCCACCGGUGUCAUUUUCAGGUUCAGCUUAUGGUGUUGGAAAUGGAUCCGAUUCUUACAAUGAGAACAGGCAUGAGUAUCCGCAUCAUAUGGAAAGCCCUGCAUCGGGGCCAAACUGGUCUUCACUCCACACAAUACUCAAUUACAGAUACUAGAAAUAGACCAACCCAAUUGCCCAAUGGUGUCGCUGAUUCUAAUUUUCAGGAGCAUAGGGUCAUGCAAAGGGAAGCACAACAGUUGAGCAUUUCAGGUGGAAUUUCUCAUAUUCGAAACCACAAUUCGUCGCAGCAGGAAAUCCAAUCCUCAGGUUCUUUAUCUAUGCUAUCUGCUGCCCCGCAACCAGAGCAACUUGAACAAUUGCCAUCAUCUCUUAUUGCACAGCAGCGGAGGCAGCCUAGGAGAACUCCAAAUCCAUCUACUGGAGAAGAUUUAAGACGGAGAAACACAAUGAAUGAGUCUGAUAACAUUCCAAGGACAUCCCAUACAUUUGGUAUGCUGAAUAAUCAGGUGACGUUGCAGCUGUCAACGUCUCAGUUUGGUCAAGUUCAACAGUUGCAGCAGCGGCAACAGCAUGUAUCAACUGUGUCUGCAACGCCUCACACAGUCCAAACAGCACUUCAGGGAAACCAACAGCUACAAAGUACUAGUACAAAUAAAGCAAUAGAAACAGAUCCACAGAAACGCCUGCAAGCAACAUUACAGUUGGCUGCAGCUCUUCAACAAAGCCAAGGGAAAUUAAGUUGACCAGUACCUGAUUAUGAUUGUGCUGGUCAUCAUUUUUUGAGAGUGAGUGACAGAUAAAAUUCGAAAUUCAGCACCUGCAACGAAGUGCAGUUGCACGAAUUUUUCUUUUCCUACAGUUUGAUGUAAAUCCUCCUCUUUUUUCAUAGUUUUACUGUUGGGGUUCAUGCAGUUGGAUGUUUAUUGGUUUUUGUUGUCCAAUGGUCAGCUACUCAUCUACAUUCUAUAUUGACUAAAUAGAAGAAAGUUACCGGCUAGAAUUUGAUAGCUACUUUAUGCUCCUUUUUCCUUCAUAUGAUAGAUUAUAUAUAUUCUUCGGCAGGGCUGCCAUAUAGGGGAUCUCUCUCAGUCGCCUAUACAGAAGCCCUGCAAACAUGACUGAAUUGUGCAGGAACACUUGUAAACUUGUUUUAGGUAAUAAUUUUGUUAAUCGCAGGAAUUUCCCCUUCUUUUUUAUUCGAUUUACAUAGUGAGAAACUAAAAAGGAAUGAAGAACAAGGCAGAAUUUGAAGAGAAACUCUGAAAAUUAUAUUGCUUUUAUUAAUAUGAAGAAUUUUAAUGCAAAGUUAUAUUACAAAAUGAAUAAGAUUGAAUGAAUACUACAGGAAUUGGGCACUAUACAUUUUGUGCUACAAAUAUAGACAUUCUGACACUUCCUCCUGCUAAACAUAGAAGUAGGUAGAGGCAUCUGUAGCAUUUUCUGUGUCUCUGCAGAGAAUUGAUCGGGCUUCGAUUACGGAACGAGGGGGCUCAAGAUCUUUCUCUUGCAGUGCAUUGCCUUGUAAACGCUGCAUCUGCGAAGCAAAUGUAUCGUCCAAUAUCUGCAGACAAACAAAGUGAGAUUAGAAGGUACUGCAGCGUGUUGCCUCUAAUUAAGUUAAUUAUGGUUUCAAUCUGAAGCCACUUACCCCGAGAGCAUAGUAAGAUCCAUUGUACCAAACUCGAUUUUCCUUCCUGCCUUCGAGGAAUUUCAAAACGAUCUAGUACAUAAUAAUCGAAAUUUGUCAGCGUUGAGAAGAUUUGGAAAUUAAUUGUUGUGUGAAAUACAGGUCUCUCUAAUUUACCUGUCCCAUUCUAUCCCAGAAUCCGCGACAAAUUGCGAUGAAUAUUUUGCUUGUAAAGACCCCAUGCAAGUUGGAGAUGGAGUCUACAAGCUGUGAACUCAGUGGAUGCAUUCUUUCGCGGACCUCAGCCUCUCCAUCUUCUUCCUUUGUUUCCUCUAGAAUCCUUUUCAGCCUUGUGUUACGGUUAGCUUGCACCUGAAACAAUCAUAUAUGAGAAAUCGUUGCUAAUUUUUACCUGUUGGACUGAAGUUCGAGUAUUUGAAGCAGAGGAAAAGACUUACAUUGCUGAUAAGCUUCCCUACAGUUGCCUGCAUGUAAUUUUUGUAUUUCGUUCUCAAGAGAACUGUGAUUCCAUUCAUCUGCUCCCCAAACAGCGACUUCUUGUUAUCACCCAUGACAGGCAGAAAAGAUGCCCAUGACUUUAAGAUGUCUUCUAAUGUACAAUGAAGGACAUCAAGAAUUCUCUUCACGGUGUUUAAAAAGGUUCCAAGCUGACAAAUAAAAGAUAUAUAAACAAAUUAACAUAUGCAAUUGCAACAUACAAAUGUAUCUGUGUGCGUGAGGAAGAGAGUUACUACAUCUGAUUUCAUUACAUUGUAUGGGAAAAUUUGCAACGGCAGAACUCACCUGAUUAGGAACGGUGUAGAUUGUGACUGAUUGUCUUCUUGUCAGCUUCUGGACCUGCAUAUUAAGCCUCUUUUGGAUACCAUCUUUCAAUGGAGUCAAGAUAUCGUUAUAUUGUUUCUCCAGUGCUUUUAUGAUUGCUCUUUCAACAUUAGCAACAGCCUGCACAGAGCCCACAAAACAGCUUAGAUGAAUGUUGAAAGCUCGUUUAUAAAUACUAUAGGGAUGAGAUAAGGGAAUGACAUUGCUGAUAGUUUCCUCUGUGAGGGUGCCCGGGCGGGGGUGGGGGUUGAAGAGAGAGAGAGGGAGAGAGAAAGAGAGACAUUGCUGAUAGUUCUUUUGUAAAAACAAUAGGGAUGAGAUGAGAGAACUCACCUGUUCCAAAAUCAAGGAGUAUUGAGGCCAUCGGUUGAGUACCACCUCGUAUUGGAUAAGGUUCUCUCUGAUAUUUUCGUACAUAUCCUCAGCAAAUGGUGAGGUGGAAUUAUUUGUUGACACGCCAGACCAUGGCACCUGAAUCAUUAUUCAGAUCACGUUAGUUAUGGGCAAUUCCUCAAGUUGAACAAAUGCCUUCAGUGGAAGUUUGCGCUAAUGUGAGCAAGAGCAUCAAAGAAGAGACUACACAUGGUAAGCUACAUAAUAAGUUCUUGGAGUGAUGUUAUACCUUUUCUGCCCUGCAACGUUCAAGUAAGUUAAGUUGCAUAUCCUGUACCCAGACCAUUAUGUAAUCGUGAAACAGAUUCUUCGAGUCAACACCGCCCUGCACUGGACUGAAGCGAAAAAAACAUGACAUGAUAAAUUAUUUAAAGUACACUCUACAAAACAACAGAAACUUCGUUCUACAAAAUCAAACCGCAAAAAUUUAUUCAAUUGUUUGCUAUUAAGGAUUUUGGUCCAAAUCGCUUUCACAGACCUGAUAUUCCAAGACUCAAGGUUUCUUUCGAAGUCAGCAACUGCAACUAAAAGCUCAUUUACAUGUGGCUGUGGACCAGAUGGAGGCAAGGCAAGAAGAAACGCUCGAAGCCUGCUGCACAGCUCAGUGCUGUAAAUGGCAGCAGCUAUAUUCGAGAGGUCAAUUGAACUGGAAAUAAGUAAGAUUUCAGUAUUUUCACACUCAAAAAUUCAAGAAUAUCAAUCCACGUGUAAUGUUGAACAAUGAAUCACAGUAUUAGGUUCAAAAGACACAGGCCUGUACCUGGGGAGUACAUGCUGGUUGUGGAUUUUGAUGUCUGCCUGAAUUUCCUUUUGUAUAUUCAUACACAAAUUCUUCAUUUUCAGAUAUGCUGUCGAGAUGGAUAUGGGGUCCAUAAGGAAGCCUUCAGAGUUACUUGACACAAACUCAUCAGUGUCUAGAGCAUGCUUCCGGUACCUCUUUUUUGCUGCUGUCUGUUAAGAAAUACAUUUGGUUUUAAAUUCUAUUUUCCUGAGUAAGUUCCAAUGAAAACAAAGUGCAAAACAAACCCAAGAAGUCGUUGAUUUAGGUCGUAUGUUGAGUUGUUAAAGAGGAAAAUUACAUCUAGAACACUGCCUCUAGAGAAAGAAAGAAAAAAUAGCAGCUAAAAUGUUUGCAGGUGUAUUCUAGUAUGCAUAACUGGGCAUGUUCCCAAGUGUUUUAUAAUUGUCAUAAGCUCUCUAAUUUAGUGACAGUGAUGAACCAGCACUUGAAAUCUGCAUGGUGGAACCGCAUACACUCUUGUGUUAGGUCAUCAAUAUUUGAGGAUAAGAAAACUAGAGAGUUCCAACUUCAUCUGAAACAUUCAUAUAUUUAACAAGUCCUUUCAUGGAAACAUAAGGAGAGAAUUAUUAACAUUUUUCAUGUACCUGCAAAUAAUUGCGCAGCAUAGUCUGGGCAUCGAGAGUGAGGAUAUCAUGAAGGAUCAUAUAGACUUGUACGGCAGGAGCUAGAGCUGGAGCUGCAGACUCUGGGGUUGGAUUAAACGAGGAUGUGAACCCUGUGGGCGAUCCUUCAUCUAAUGACUUGUAAUUUUCGAAAACAUUUGCCAAAAGACUCUCAAUUUGGUUUUCACAGUCUAACAGUAUACUUUUCUACAAGAAGACAAGGUCAAAUCCAAUUAAAAACGAAAGGAAGUUAAAAUUUCUUUCACAGGGAAAUUCAAAAAGAAAUAAUUCUUGGUAUUAAGUCUACCUCCUGCCUUGUCAAACAUUUCUGACUCCUGGCCUUUAUUAUAGGUACUAGUAACUCAUUCACAAGCUCUAAGCAACCUAUGGUCGGAGUUGCCACAUUCAUGACAUGUGACAGAUAUCUACAAAGAAACCAAAGGGAAGAAAAUAUGAUGCCGUGCCAUCACAAAUAGGAGCAUUCUAAGCUUUUUUUCUUUUUUCUUUUUUUUUUACAGCAGAAGCAAAGAAUCCCUAAUUACUAGAUUUGAAAAAUUGCACAUUUGCGACAUACCUGAGCUUUGUGUAUGACUGGGAAACUUCAUAAUAGUCUGCAAACUCGGUCAACAACCACUUCCAAGUUCCAUGUAACCAUAGGUUCCGAGAAUGAAAGUUUUGUGCUCGCAUAGCAGCCUCUAGCAACAAAUCAUAUGCUAGAGUCUCUGCAACUGGUCCACUCUAUAAUAUGUGAAAAAGUACAGGUGAGAACUGAUGUUUGAUAAAAAAAAAAGGUCGUACCCAGUGCAAAAGGCUCCCGCUUUACGCAGGGUCUGGGAGAGGUGAAUGUCAGCUAGCCUUACCCCCAUUCCUGGAGAGGCUGCUUCCAAGUCUCGAACCCGAGACCUACCGCUCAUGGGCGAAGGCACUUGCCAUCGCACCAAGUGCGACCUCUUGAGAACUGAUGUUUGAUGCUAAAGAAAAAUAGCAAUGCCAAAUUCUCAGACUGAACAGGGAAGAAAUGAAAUGUGUGACAAGAUUUUCUUAGAUGAAUAGAGAUGGAAGAAGUGAAACCUUGAUAUGAUUAUCUUCAUCACUUGUUAUCACACUCCCGAUGUUGAGCUGAAUCUUCCCAAUACAUUCUUUAUCAUCAUGGUAUAAUGGCCACCAACGAAGUUUAUCACUCUGCAUAAUCAAGAAAAAUCACAUCAUAUAACAUGCGGCUGGUAGAAAGAUAUUGAUCUUCCUUAAGAAAUCAACAUUGGGUGAUAGGGUAAGGAUUCAUACAGUGCUGUCAUUCAAGGAUGAAAUAGGAAUUGUAGUUCGACAUUGGACUGAUUUUUUCGUGUCUUGAACUUCUACCAAAAGAGCAUCCACUUGACUCUCUGGAAAACUGGAAGUACAUAGACAUGUAAGAUCUUUUCCAAAUUUAACAUCAUAUGAAACUCUCAAGUCAUAACCAGUGUCCCUUGAAAAGGACCAACACUUCGGUAUAUUAAUUAGACUAUGCCACAGAACUUCAAGUACCAACACAAGUUACCAACAUAUCCAUUCAAAUGAGGGUUAAAUUGACACCAGGGUUUAGGGUUCAACUUUUUUCUUUUGAUUUCAUUAAAGCGGAAAAGCACUAAAGCCUAGAAACAUGCUACUUUCCGUUAAAGUAAAACAGAAACUUACAACACAUGGUAAUCACUGCUUCCAGGGUGCAAACAAACUGCGGAACUUGGCUCUACUUCGGUUUCUUCGGUGGCACUACUAAGUUUGAAUAUGCAUGAAAGUGGCUCUGCACACACAAAUAAGAUAAGUGUCAAUCAUCCAUUAAAACACAAGACUCACAUUGCCCAUUAAUUUCAUUAUAAAAAACACAAGACAUAAGUCACAAAAAAUCCACCAGGAGAUGCUACACAUUGAUAUAUCUCUUAUCCUAAUCAGUAACAAUAACUUUCUCGGGUUGUAAUAUAUCAAUUAAAUGGUGGCUGAAUAUUAAGUCUUUGGAGAAAAUUAAAUUUGAGAACAAAAAAGGGUUCUUCAUAUGGCACAAACCUUCUGGUGUAAUCGAGAAUGACGAUGACUUUAAAGAAUUUAUGCCAGUUUUUACUAGUGAUGAAACAUGACGGACGUAUUCUGCCCCUGCUUGUAUAUACAUUGCACCUCGCUGUGAAUAUGUGCUCUUCAGUUUCCUUCUUGGUAUUACUCGAAGUUUCCUCACUGCCAUCAUUCAAAAACUACAUCAAGAUACAAAAAUACACAAUGUGGCCUACUUUUAUCAGCUUAGUGUCUAAAAUAAACCUAAAAUCCUUGGAUAAAAUUAUGCUGGCAUAGAAACGUUUUAUUACUGGUAAGAAAUAAUUGAGUAAACAUUUCAUACUUUCGGCCUCCUAAAACAGUUGUAAAUAAAGAAACUAAAAUAAAUUCGGUAAAGGAGUUUUAAAGAUCAAGUAUUCACUAUCUUACUAAUAACUUUAAUCCAUUUAUAAGAUCAUACCUUCAACUCUUAUCUUUCCAACCACCUUCUUUGCUUUUGGAGCAAAAGUUUGUUCUGUAUUCCGACUAGUCUUUGCUUCUAGUGGCUGCGCUCCUCUGGGUUGCAACAAAAAUGUGUUUAGCCUGUAUAAUCAGUGUAAAUCAGUGACCAAUCAAAGCCUGAGAACUAGCCAUGGAACUUCAAAAGAACUGAAUAUGGUAGCUAACCCAAAAGCAUUCCGAAGAACCAGGCACUCGUCACGUAGAAAUUCAGGUGCCUCAGUGCAGCCUUUUGCCCAUGCUUGUAGGCAUAAGCGUAUACAUGCCUCAUGUGCAACCAAGGUUUGCCACGCAUAUUGACCACUGCAAUGACUCAAUUGGAUACUCGGACUUUAGAAUGACAAAAGUAAUAUGUUUGCAGAAUCUUUGAUGCAUUUACUUCACUAAAUCAAAAGAAACAGUAAACAAGUAUCUGCCUUCAUAUGAAAUUCAAUUGUGGAAGCACCUGGUAUUAUAAUAAGAAUGGUCUAAUUGGCUGACUUGCAAAGAAGGGACUUUCGUUUCUGUUUCUCCAGCUACGCUCUUGUUCACUCUACAGAAGACAAUGUCAAAUUAUGUAAGAACUAUUUAAAACCCGAAACGAACAAAGUAAAGAAUCAAAUUAAAGUCACAGUCCACAUAAAAUACCAAAACAAGAAGAGCAAAACCACUCUUUAUUCAAUACCUUUCACCAAGUUGAGAAGCUUUGAAAGAACCAGUAUCCAAAUCUGCUAAACCCUCUACACUCCCAUCGAACCCCAUUGAUCCUCUUGAUGGGCAGGUCCAAUUUUCAGCUACAUUGCUUUCUCUCAGCCCAUCAGAAGCUUCCUGCCCUCCUUGAAUUUCAUCCUCAUUACCCGAAUCAUCUCUCCCAAUUUCAAAAAUGGGAGGCGCACUCGGAGUUCCCAAGUCUGCAGCUGAAUCUCUAAGUACACCACAUUCAUCACCACUUGGGCCAGUGCCCUGCAACAAAAAAAUCCCACAAACACAUAGAUUAAAAAUUUACAAACAAACACUUAACUACUAAACAAAAAACAACUCUAAACCAUAUUAUCAUACAAUAUAUUAAAGAGAUAAACUUUUUUGCAUCAAUGCCUACAUUGAAAUUUCGAAGUUGAGCCCUUUUCAGAAGCUGAUUGCCAGCACCCGGUGUCGAAGUUUUCAGAGCACAUUUCUUCUUGAAACCCACUUCACCAUCCGUAAAUCUUCUGCAAUUUCCGGGCAAUUCAACCCUCAGAGCCUCCUUCAACAACCCUCUAUUCAACCCGCUGCUUGGCUUAUUCCUAUAACCAAACAUAUCCUCUUCUUCUUCCUGAUAGUACUGCUCCAUUGGCUUCGACUCUUCCUCAAAGUAAUUGGCAGACGAACCCGUAUCAGAAAUCGAAGCCACACUCUCGUUGCCGUCAUCGUGGUCGUUAUCGGUGUCACUGCUUAGACAGGGAGCCACCAAACUGUGAGGUGCGAGCAGGCCAGUGUGGAACUUCAGCGGAGGUAGAGCGGGACCGCCGCCGCCGCUGUUGGUGCCGAAGCGCAGUGGCGAUAUUGGGUAAGCGUCGGAAGUGAGUUUCUCGGCAAGAGGUGAUCGAACCGCUUGUGGGGAUUGUUGCUGUUGUUCUAGCGCUUCAAUUUCUGAUCCCUGCAAAUGUUCAAUUGAAAAAUGAAAACUGGAAAUUGAAUGCUCAAAGAUGUGACAUGGGUUUUUGAAAAUUUUUGAACUUUGGGGAUUUGGGUACCUGUUUGAUCCAUUUGAUCGCAUUUUCGUCGAGGCCUUCGGUGAACAUUUUUCUGGGUUUCAGAGAGAGAGAGAGAGAGAGAGAGAGAGUUGAGGGGAGCGGAGAGAGAUGGAAGAAGAGAAAGAGUAGACAGAGAGAGCGUAGGUCGGUGGGUUUCGGCUGGCAACGGCUAGUUAGACAUUUUAUAAUUUAUUUAUUUUGCGCAUAAAAAGGGACCUUUCUCUUCUUUUUCGAAAUUAAAAUAAAAAUGGGGCAUUUUGCAUUUGGCAUUUGGCGGCAUUCUUCUCCACAUCUCCUAUUUUCUCAUUGUCCUUUGGGUGUCAAUCUAACCAUUUAGAAAUAAAAAUUCUUAUUAAUUUAAACUUAUAUAAAAAAAUCUAAUAUAUGAAAAUGGAAAGAUUUAAACACAAGUGAAAUAUGAGGCACAUUGUACCGCCUUGAUUAACUGACAUAACUCCAUCAAUUAUAAAUUUUAGUUCCUGAUAUUGUUGUCUCCUCUGGGGCCUUUUGGGGCAUCUUUUGCAUACAUAAGAGCAGUUCCACCCCUGCUCUUAGGCUGGCACCCAGGCCAAAAAAAGGACCGACUUUUCCAUUUUUUCCUCCACCCCAGCCCUUUAGGCUGGCACCUAGCCCAAGCCAGACCACAGGCUGGCCCAGAAUCGACAGAGGAAGGGGAUGGCUCAUCUGACGCCAGUGUGACGUCGUGAGCCUUUUUUAAUUUUAUUUCUGCAAUCUCCACCUGCACCGCCCUCACCGCAAUCUCCACCUCCAUCACUCUCUGUCACGCUUUCGACGCCUCCCGAUCCUUGGAACCCCAUCUGAUAUACCCGCACACCUUCUUCAUCUCAAAUCCCUCAUUCCUCUUCCCGAUUUCCACUCCACCAAUCAUGGGGCUCCAGUUGCUCCAUUCAGAGAUAGCUCUCUCUAAUUCAAGGAACAAGAAGAAAGACCUGCUGGUCUUUUGAUCCAAAUGAAAUCAAGUGCAUAAUCAACUUCCUCAUUUGAAGAAGAAAACAUGGAGAAAAAGGUGAGAAAAAAGAUAGGGGACAGAGACGGUUGGUCGGAGAAGUAAGGGGAGAAAGGACCGAAGAGGGAAUAGAAGCAGUGGGAAGGAAACAAAAAUGUUAGACGUUUCGAGAGAAAGGAAGAAAUUUCCUAAAAGAAAAAAAAUUAAAUGAUAAAAAAUUAAUUGAUAUGAAUAAAAUAAUAUAAUAUUAGAUGGUCUGGGUGCCAGCGCAUUUUUAGGGAUGGAGUUGUAUUUGGCCAAUGAUUGUUCAUUGUGAUCAAUCACUAUUCAUUUGAGUGGAUUAAAUGAGUUGGCUGCCAACACAUUUUUAGGGGUGGAAUUGCUCUAAGCAUAACUAAAGUUGCCUAUAGUAGCGUACUAACUUUUCUUCACCUAAAUUCAAAUUCACCAUUUCAGAAUUUAAAUUACAUUAAGUAUGACUCGGAAAAAAUAACACAAAUUAUGCCCUUUUGUUUAAAUUAAAUUAUUCGUUUGAGAUUUGAAUUUGAGAAAUUAAGAAGGAAAUAAAAGAGUGAAAUGAAAUGCAAAUGGAAGGCCUUUUUGCUAAGAUCGCCUUUGAUCUGAAUUACUUGAAGAGUACCAAAUCAAACUGUAUGGCAAUUGGAAGAGCUUUCAACCCUUUUGCAAGUUUCCACAAGAGAUCUUCCAACUAUAUUGCUCACCUUUUGGCUAAGUAUUAUUCCUUUAUUAUCUUGUUCUUAAUGUACCGCCAUGGUUAUUUUCUCUCUUACAAAGUGAUGUAUAUUCUUAUUCUUUUUUGGGUCAAUGUGUGAGAGGGGACUUUGACCUUCGAAGAAGAGGCAUUACUAGACUAAUAACCAGAUGGUGAUGUUAAUUUAUUUUUUAUAGUGAAUAAGAUUCCUCUCAUACAAAAACAAAAAAGGGAGGAAUGGGAUUUACUCGCAUUUGGAAUAGUGGGAUCUUCUGACAUACAAUAUUAACUUACUGGUCGAGUGUCAUGUAAUUGUGUCGUUACAUGAAAAAAAAGAAGAACAAUGAUGAGUUGUGUUGAUGCACAAAAUCAGUGAGGACUUUGGUACAACAGAAAGUGUUAAGUUUGUGACCUUCGCUAGAUUGCUCCGGUCACUAGUGUGGAUAAGUACGUAAAUGGAUAGAGACAGGGAAGCAAACACAAGAUGUACGUGGUUCACCUAGAUUGGCUACGUCCACAGAGUAGAGGAGUUCUCAUUAAUUGUGAAGGGUUUACACAAGUACAUAGGUCUAAGCUUUCAUUUUGUGAGUACUAGUGAAUGAUUUAGUACAAAUGACAUUCAGAAAUAUUGUGAGAGAAUGAUCUCUAUUUAUAUAAGAGAUUUUCUAGUUUCAUUCUGACAUUGACACGUGUCAUGUUGUGAUUGGCUUCUGAUGUUGACACGUGUCGCGCUAUGAUUGGCUUCUAAUGUCGACACGUGUUGCAUUGUGAUUGGCCUCUUGGUUUGAGGGAAACUCUUCUGAGUCCUUGACGAUAUAACGUUGACCGGUGCUCAGUAGUUUUGGGAUUGGUCAAGUAUGGUACAAACAGUGCUCCCCUAAGUUCCCAAGUGAGGGAAGCUCCUCGGUUGGGGACUUGCAAGACCCAAGCCGUUAAUCACGAGACUUCUAAGUACCGAAGUGUGGUGUCUUUAAACGAUGAAGAUGCACAAGGUAAUGUAUCAAUUUCACUUGAAGCUUACUUGUAGUUUCGGGCUUGGUUAAGUGCGAUACAAACCCUAUAGUAGGAGUCCCCCAAGUCACCGAGCUAGGAGAUUUGCCGAAUGAGGUAACAGACAAGGUAAGCAAUCAGACUUCCAAGCAAGCAACCUGGAUUUGAGGUUCGACUUUGGCUUCCGAUUGAUUGUUCUUUUUCUCCUUGUGUCAUAAAUAGCAACAAGGAUAAGGAUAAGCAAAUGGAGAAGAGAUGAUAUGAGAUACUUUUGCUUUUGAAGAAGUAACUUUCCACAGGCUUAUUCUUAAACUGGGCUGGAGGGUUUUCUGGUUUUCUCCAGAGUAUAGGCCGACUCAAGAAUUUGAGGGUCAAAACAAGUUCAUCAAAUCUAGAGUACGUUUGACCCUGAUGAUAUGGGAUACUUUUGCUAUUGACAAAGUAGUGGAUGUAUCGGCACGUGUUCUGUUACAUUUGUCUCCACAUGCUUCUUUAUAUCCUUCUCACUUGCCCUAUCUGUUCCUCAGGCAGAUGUAGUAUCUUCUUUGGAAGCAUAAGAUGUUGAAGAUGAGUACUUGAGAGAAAUGCCAAGUAAGUGGUCAGGUAAGGGGUUCCAAGCAGUCAGUUCCUGACUGGAAGCUUGAUUCCAAGUGCUGACUGGUUACUCUCUUUCUCCUUGUCUUAUAGGUAAGAACAAGGCCAAAGGAAAAGACAGGGAAAAAGCAUGAUAUAGGAUACUCUUGCUUUUAACCCUGAUGAUAUGAGAUACUCUUGAUCUGAUGUGGCUUGUUUGCAGAGGUAUUAUCAAGGGAAAAAAAAGCUGAGUAUUUCGAGAGACUUUGCUGAGAGUGCCCUCUCGGAUGUGAAGAAAAGUUGAGCAUUUUUUUUUAUUUGCAUGUCUGCCUGGCUGUGGAGGAUGGAGGUCGACAUAUAUAGGAGUCUCCCUAACAACAAGUAGUAGUGUUAUUCUUUUACCCUUCUUGGUCACAACAAUGUAGUGGGAGCUGCAAGCUUCACGUGUUUUAACUUUGUCAGAGCACUUUGAAAAAAUGGUCUGUGGUAUUUGAAAAGCUGAUGUUGCGUGUGAAGAUUGUAAACAAGCUUUAUCCAAGGAAAUCUGGCUCUCGAAGUUCGGAGAGUGGUGCCUCUUUGAUUUUCGAACAAGCAAUCAUGUCGGGGAUCUGACUCUCGAGAUUCAGAAAACGGUGCCUCUUCAAUUUUUGAGAAAGUAAUCAUGUUGGGAAUUUGGCUCUUAAGAUUCGGAGAGAUGUGCCUCUUCGAUUUUUAAGCAAGUAAUCCUGUUGGGAAUCUGGCUCUCGAGAUUCGGAGGGUGGUGCCUCUUCGAUUUUUGAGCAAGCAAUCUUGUUGGGAGUGUUUUCUCGAAUGUGAGUAAAGGUUAGGAAUUUUUGCCAGUCUGCCUUACCACGAAGCACGGAGGUUGACACACAUAAGGACUUUCUAGUUAUCAAGCAACGAUGUUGUUCCUUUACCCUUGUGGGUAAUAGUAGGGUAGCUGGACCUUCAAAAUUUAUGUGUCUAAACUUUGUCAGAAAUCUUUGGCAAAGUUAUCUGUGGUACCCGAUGAGCUGAUGUUGCGUGUGGAAAGUGGUGCCUCUUCGGAAUCCAGAGAGUGGUGCUUCUUCGAUUUUUGAACCAACGACCUUGUUACCCUUUCUUUUAUAAGGGCACCAAUUGUGUGCAAGAAGUACAUUCAGAGAGUUAUUGCUUGUAGGAAUUUUCCCUUUACUUCAGAGAUUUAUUGCAUAUCAUUUCUCCUUCAUCAUUUCUAAGAAUGUCUGACCCAUCCGACCAUCGUUUUGACUUGAACUUUGGUGAAGAGGCAGCCAUGUCUUCUCAAGACAACAUAUGGCGCCCAUCUUUCUUAUCGCAUACUAGUCAUCUUACCAUUGGGGACUCUGUGAUGAAGAAUGAUAUGACCGAUGCAGUGGUGGCCAGGAACCUUCUCACUCCCAAAGAUAACAAAUUACUUUCCAAAUGGUCUGAUGAGUUGGUUGUUAAGGAUUCUCUGGUUCUCAGUGUUCAAUGUGCAGGUUUUGUGUCUAAUAUGGUCCAACGCCUACUUGCUCAAACCUGCCAAGUUAAAUCAUUGGCGGCUAAAGUGAUAAGUCUCAAACAGAAUAUCAGAGGGCUCAAGCAUAACAAUAAACAGUUGCACAGGCUCGCACAUGACUAUGCUACAAACAUGAAGAGGAAGCUCGACCAGCUGCAAGAAUCUGAUGGUCAGAUUUUACUUGAUCAUCAGAGGUUUGUGGGUUUGUUCCAAAGGCAUUUAUUGCCUUCGUCUUCUGGGGCUGUACCGCGUAAUAAAGCUCCAAAUGAUCAACCUUCGGUGCCUCCUCCUUUUGGGGUUCGGCUUAGUACUGAGGGUCCGAAUAAUCACCCUUUGGUGCCUCCUCUUUCUAGGGUUCUGCCGACUGCUGAGACUUCUCUUAAGCAACAUUUGUGAAGGCUUCCUCUUAUUUGUUUAUUUUGAUUCAUGUAUAUGUACAUAUUGAAGGAAAAUUUGUGAAAAACAUGUUCAUUUGAAUAACAUCUAUAGCAUGCAAUUAACAAUUAAAAGGCGGAAUCAUGCUUGCAUGCAUUCAAAAACAAAACAUUACCCAUGAAAUUCAAAGCCUAGUAGAUUGGUGAACCAAGACUUAACUCAAAUCAAAGUGAGUUGAGAAAUAUAUACCUUUGUAGAUUCCUCUUUGCAUAAGCAAAGGCUAAUCACCCAAGAGAUAGGGCCUUCAUUCCUUGCUUCUUAGAUCCAUGGAUUUGGAUGGAAGAAUAGGUUUCUCCAAGUUCCCAAAAUUGAGAACCUCUAAGUCUCUACACCAAGGUUAGAUUGGAGAAGAAAUGAGUGACCUUGGAGUAGUGGGAUUGAUAGAUACACCCUCCAAGGGGGCCGGCCUCCUAGAGAGAAAAUGAGAGACAUGUUCUCUUCAAUUUUCUCCAAAAGAACCCAUUAUGAAUUUUAGGCUAUAAAGUUCUUUAUAUAGUCACUUCUUUAAAUGACCUAAAGAACCAAAAACCCUAAUUUAUCUCAUAUGGCCGGCCACAUAAAGGAUAUGGCUUUUGGGCCCUUGUGAAUAUUUAUUCAUUAAAUUGUCAUACAACUUAAUUCAAUGGGCUUGACGUUCGAAGCCCAUUGGACCUUAAGGUCCAAAACUAUCCCGAGGUCUUUAACGAACUUAUUCGUUUGAUUAAUUAACAUAUUAAUUAAUCAUUGCCAUAAAUAAAUAAUUAAACCAUUUAAUCAUUCUUACUCAUCUCCGUUGUUUCUUCAAUCUUUACCUUACACGGUGUACGAUCCAUUAGGUUCCUUUUAGCGAGGCAGUGGGCGAUUCAGAACUCUUUCAAAUCGAUUGUGAAUUGAAACUUACUUUCAGGGCUUCCACAAACCAUGAGUGACACCUAGCAGCAUAUCAUGGUUACCCAAGCUAAUCAGAAGAGGUAGAGAACCUAUUCAGUUUAGGAUUACAAAUGCAAUACGGUAUUUCUCUAAUACAAUACUUUUGACCACAUUGUUUGGUUUGAUAGUUUAUUCAUGUUUACUAUCCAAUAUGAUUCGUGUGCUUAUAUGAUUACCUUGAAUGUGAUUUGGAACGACUUCCUAAAUCUCAUUCAUACUCUGAUCAGAGAUUUUAAUCAUAUCAUAGAGUAUUCUCCCUUAAACAGUUUGAAGGUUAGAGAUCCCUUGUUGCGCAUUCAUAUGCCUACAUGAUUAGAUAGCUUGACCCCAACAAUGCCGUGGACACUCCAAUGGAAUGUCAUUUAACAUGAUCAAAGAUCAAGGACCUAACCAUUAGACAUCUAUGAUGCCUCAGGUCAAAUGACUACUUUGCAUUAUCCCAACCAUGAGUUCUCAUGUGACAUGAGUAUGAGAACUCCUCGUUGAUCGUGUUCAGUGGACUCAUUCGCUAUUGAGCACCUAUAUGCUUGUCUUGAUGUCACACACACCAAUGACUCGAGACUAGUCACUCUCACUAAGAGAAGACAUAGCAUGUACUGAUCUUAACGAACUGUCAAUGCCCAAUUGGCAAUCCUAUGAUCAGGAACGUUUAGGAUGUGUCUACGAAAGAAUGGUUUCAUGAAUCUAACUUCUUUAGAUCAUAUUCUCCCAAUCACAUAUUCCUUGGACUUAUCGUUUAAGCAUAUAACAUUUAUAUGAGACGACUCAAACAAUAAUCUUUGCCCUUUAUAUUUAAACUAGAUUAGUUUAACAUAUGAAAUGUCCGUAAAGUAUCAUCAUAUGAUUGGCUUUAGGGCACAUUUCCAACAAUCUCCCACUUGCACUAGAGCCAAUCAGCUUAGUCAUCUGUGAUGAUACCUCUUAUGUAGUCAUUUCAUAAAUGGCUGAGUAGUAAGCCUAGGAAAUGGAUAUCUAUAUGUUAUCCAUAGAAGCAACCUUGAGAAUAACGACGUCACCAUUAUACAUGAUUCUCAAUCAUGUGGUUCGGUCUCUCAUAUGAGUUCGGAUCUUGAUGAGACCUUGAUUCCCUGGCUUGAGCUAUCGCCCCAUUAGUGUCACAGUGUCAGUACACUAGAUACACUUUCUGGUUGGAAUCGAAUAGAGAGUUCAUGAAUGAACUUUCCCAUCCAAACAACAUUGUUGUAAGCUUCUAUAUGGCAAUAUAUUUUGCAUUUCAUAAUGGAACAAACUAAAGUCAUUACUUUAAUGUUUCCAUCCAAAUAUCUCUUUAGUCAUAAUAAAGAGAUAUCUGAUUAUCUCUUCAUUCAUAAUGAAGAAAUAUCCAAUGAUGGAUUAGAUUCAUAAUCUAAUACAUUUACGCUUCCUUUACGUUACUCUAAUUCUUCCUCGAUCUUUGAGGAAUUUAUCCUUUAGUAUUUCUUAAAUACUUAAGGACUCACUUGACAGUUGCCAUGGUUCUGAUCCUGGGCUUGCACUGAUAUCGUCUUGUACCGUCCUAGGUACAACUCAUAUCAACGUUUUUCAUACAAUAUGAAAUACGUAAAUCACAUUUCUGCGUAUGCCUAAAAGAUUCUAUUUAUGCAUUAUUUCUUUGGGAGUCAAAGGGUACGUUCCCUUUGAGAAGAGCUACCUCCUAGUCUUACUAGAGGUGUUCUUCUGAUUGAAAUUUAUCAUCAUUUGAGAAACUCCCUAACAUCUUUUGUCUAUCAUUAGGGAUUGAUAUAAUCCAAUUAUAUCAUGAAAUAUAUCAUUAUAGAUUUCCAUCCCAUGUAUAUAGACUAUAUCUCCCAUAUACAUUCUAUCGUUAUAGAAUGCUUAAAGUCAUAACUUUAACAAUGAAGUAUUCUUUUCAUUUCCAAAAUUAAUAUAUCAUAUAUAUAUAUUUAAAUUUUUAGGAACAUGAUUAACUCCCACUAAUCUUUUGUAAACCUAGUAAACAAAAGAUUCGUUUACAUCUUUAUGAGAAAUCAAACGAUUUGAUCUUUCUCUCAUAAGACGCUUAUGGCUCCCACUAGCUUGUUUAAGAUUCAUGAUGGAUGAAUCUCUACAACUUACAUGUCUUGUGAUUCAUAGUUUUAGAAAUAUAUUAUCCUGACUAUCUUAAUAAUGGUUUCGGAAACUCAUAUUAUGUCCAAACAUUGAAUCACCAUUUAGUUGUAGCUAGCAAUCUUCGAAUUAAUUGAAACCAAGACUACGUCAAAAAAUGGUUCCUUCAAAGUCAACCAUUCUCUUUGAUUGUAGUCACCUUAAGCUACCAACUAGCUAUGAAUGUUUCAUUAUUUCGGGUCAAAUGGUACUUUACCAUUUCCUUGAGUAUAUAUCGUAUAUACACUCAAUGUAGUCAUAAGGAUUCUCAUUCUUAUUUCUUUCGAAUUAAGAGGUGUAACUCUAUGACAUAGUCAUAAAGUUCAAACCAUUCAACUGAGACGGUUUAUAAAUCCUUCUCGACUACCUUGAAGCUUGUGGUAUAGGAACUAGGUUGUUAUAUUUGUUGAUUAUCAUCUUGUCUCUCAAAGAACCCAUUCUUUGAGUUCUAUCUUUCGUUCAUUGCUCUAUCUUAGGCAAAUCAUAUUGUAGGAUUACAAUGAACUACCCAACAAACAACAUUUGUUAGUUGGUUUAUAGAAGUGAUAUCCAAAUGUUAAUUUAAGGAUAUUCACAAGAUAAUUCUCAAACAAAUAUUGCUUAUUGGCACACAACCCCAAAUCUUAACAUGAUUAAGAUUUGUCUUUCUUUCUAACUACAUCCUAUGGAGUCAUGAAAACUUUGGAAGAUCUUCUAAUUGACAAUCAUAUUGUUUUUAGAAGUAUAUAUCCUAUAUAUGGGUAAUUGAUAAUAUCCAACGAACCAAAUCUUAUUCAAGUUCGUUCUUCUCCUUAUGGAGAAAUCCAUUAUCAUAUAAUGCUUCUUUCCUUGAUAUCUUUCUAGAAAACUAUUCUAAAGUGUUACCAUUCCUUGGAUCAAAUCUAAGGAUGUAAAUACUUUAGACGUCUUACUCAUCAACUUACAUUUCUUGAAUUCUUUGAAACCUUUUGCAAAGUAUUCGGACUUGUGUUUAUUUAAAAUAAACUAUAGUCCAACCGAGGGUGAUCUUCGGUGAAUGUCAUACAACAUGAGUAGUAUUAUGUUGUGGACAAGUGCCACUAACAUCUAAGUGAAUUAACCUCAACAACUUUGUGAUUCCUUAUUCUUUCCAAAAGAAUAAAGAUUCAAACAUUUUGCCUCUAUACAAUUUUAACAAGAAGGCAUUGGAUCCGGAUCUAACGAUCCAAAGUAUCCAUCUAUGACUAACUCGUAAUUUAUGUUUUUAGAGGUAUCACAACUUUAGUUGGGAUUAGUCACUCCCUUGCAACUUUUUGGGUUUUAAGCAUCGUUGUAUUCUAAACAGUUAACACUACCAUAUCAUCUCUACUAUAGAGACAAUCAAUUAGAUUACUAUAAUCCAAUCAUUCAUUAAUAAAGAACAAUGUUUUGUCAAACAAAACAUUUAUCCAUUUCACAUACUGACGGAAUUUAGUUCCUUAAAAUUGGAAUAUAAAGACAAUCUUUGGUUUUUCCAAUUUCUUUGGUAGUUCAUAUGAGGAAGUAAGUACCAUCUGCUUUCGCAGAGAUCUAUAUUUUAUUCACGUUCCGAAUGUGAAGUACUUUCUCUUCUCUCAUUAAUCUUCUACUUCUUAUUAGCCAUACUUUUACAACGAUUGUAAAACAUAGUUACUAAUACGGAAUCAAACAUUCAAGUAGAAGAACCAACUAUUUUGAACUAUUCAAGAACAAUUUACAACACCUUCGAAAGGUGUGUUCUUGACACUUGCAAGACAUUUCUUGCAAAUACCCCUUCCAAUGUCCAUCAUUUCAUAAAGAAAGUUUGUUCCCUUGGAGUUAAUUUUAUCUUCUUCAUUUGACUUCUCCUUUGACUACAAUAGUCAUGGUCCCUAAACUCCCACUAUCUCUCUUGAAACUUAUUUCAAUUGUGUUAUACACAUCAAACAAUUUGGAGAGCAUGUGUUUAUUGUUCACUACAUAGUUUACAAUAAACUUAGUGAACCAUUUGGAUAGGGACACAAAGGUGAAGUCCUUGCCUAGUUCCCGUCUCUAGAAGUGUUUUAACACUUCAACACUCAAUGAUUCAAAAUCAUCAUAAGUCCAUGUUUAUGGACUAUUUUUGUCAACCAACCAUUAUGUUCUAAACAUAAUUACAAACUUUCAAGAGUUGUUUAAGGCAACUCUAAUUUCUUCAUACAACAAUUUGUAAGUGAAGAAUCAUGGCACAUUAAGUGUCCAUGCUUUGUGCUUUCUUCUUAAGUUCCUUGUUCAUGUAACAAAGAAACAAGCACUAAGUGUUUGCAUUGACUAAGGGUUGUUCAAAACAACUCAUUAUUUCUUCAUACAACGAUUUGUAAGUGAAGAACUAAUAACACUAAAAGUGUCCUUUUCUUUAUGCUAAUCUUCGUAAGUUCCUUUGUUCAUUUAACAAAGGAUUAAGCAUUGGUUGUUUGUGUUGUCCUCUUCAUGAUAGACUUUUCUAACAUGUUCUUCCAAUGAUACAUUAUCAUUAGGAAGAUUGUGAAGAUGAGACUACUUAGAUACAUAUGCAAUCCUUUUAAGACAUUCUUUGGGAUUGUGGUACUAAGUCCGGAAACUAAAACAUUCGGUUUUAUUUGUCAAGUGUUGGAUAGCGUUUGCAAAUAUAUUGGUAAACAAAUACAUAACGAAUAUAAAUUGAUUGAUUUUAAGCCAUUUGAUUCGGGUCUUUAAAUCAAAUAGCACCACCCACUAUUUUUGGCAAAUUCCAUAUCCCUCAUUGGAAUUCGAGAGUUUUGGAUGAAACUCUUAGUAGGGUAUGGGAGACUCACUACUACCAAGCCCACCUCACAAUGAUAUGAUGUUGGCUAGCAUUAAUAAUAAUGAGAGAGUACACUUACUCAUUUGCAUCUCUUGCAAGUACCCAUCAAUUUGGCCUCUAGAAAAUGUCACCUCACAAUGAUAUGAUGUUGGCUCCAUUUCUCUUAGUUAAGUCAUUCCCACCAUGCUUAGUUCGUGAAGGGGUUCAAGAAUAGCCUCAUGAUGAUACGAUGUCGGCCAUCCUCGUUGCCUACACCAACCUCAUCAUAUGUUUAUGGAUUCCUCCUGAGUAUAAGCAUGCACUUUGUACUCCCCCAUGAUAGGGUGAAGCCGGUGUACAAGUCAUAAACGAUUGGAUCCCACCACGGUAGAAGGCCACGAAAGAGUGUUCAAAGCACUUUCACGCUUAUCAACUUAAUAAUGCUUUGGUUGAGGGUUUUAGGUCUCAUCAUACACAAAUAUUCAUUUUAAUCUUUAUUAAAACAAUUUUGGUCCUAUUACAACUAUUGGUCCAUUGGAUUGAAUUUAGUUGUAUAUAAUACUCCCACUAUGCUUAUAAAACGGUUUUUUAAAGCAAGAGUAUAUGAUACUACUAACAUAAGGUUUGCAUUCAUUUAAUGGACUAUGUAGUUGCCUUAGGGCCUUAGGAUGACUAUGAACCUUUGUUUAGAUUCAACACGAGCCUAGUGUUGAAUCUCGGACUAGGGAUGGUGAUUGAUUUUAGUUACGCGUUUAAUCACAUUAAGGCGUGUUGUUCCUAGGGGCGUUGGACCCUCUACUCCAUUUUCAUGCAUAUCAAAUAAAACAAGAAUGGAGUACUUUAAAGUAAAGAAGAGCUUAUGCUCUUUUACAACAAUUGAUCAAAAUAAAUUACUUUAAAGUAAAAAAGAGCUUAUGUUUUUUUACAACAUUUGAUCAAAUCAAAUUACAACCAAAAUUAAUGUACACAUUCCCAUGGUUCAAACAAAUUUGAAACGGCCUUUCACAUAGCUCAAUUAUCGUAGGCUUAGGUUCAUAAUCACCCUUUAAUUAAUUAACACUUUAACUAAUUAAAUUGAAUGCAACAUUUUCAUUUGGUUUUUGUAUCCAUAAAAUUGAUUUAAAUGGAGCUAAAUGAAAUGAAAAUCCAAUUCUCAUUUAAAGAGACAAAACAAUUUUGUUCUCAACCUAAUUUGGGCCAUCAUGCAAUAACCACAACCUUUUGGGAUAUAUUGCGAAAACAUAAACUUUUGGGGUCACUUUGUAAAAACAAAAAGUCCACUACUUCAUUUAAAUACAACUAGAACCCAAAAUUUAAACAAUGCAAAAACUUCAUUAAAGGAUCAAAACGAUUUGUCCUUUAGCAUUUUUGGACCUAAACGUAAAAACGUAAACUUUUGGGUCAAAAUACAAAUACACAAAAGUUUCAAAACUUUAUGUAAUUGCAUAAAAGCCCCAAAAAUACCCUAUUUUAAUAGGGUGGCCGGUUUUAGGGAGAAAAUAGGAGUGGAGAUAAGUCCACAAAAAUUUGGAAAUUUUUUCAACAAUUUCAUAAAGCCUUGCAAGUGGAAUUUGUGACAUAAAUUCAUGCAAGUGGUUUGUGACUUAAAGUCAUGCAAGUGAUGUGUGUGUAAGAGAAGUACUUCUUACACACCUAUCACCAUUUCCAUCACCUUACACAAUUUCUAUCACAUUAAAACAUUUGAUAAAGCACAAAACAAAGACUUUAUGAAAUAAAUCAAAACUUUGAAUCAAAACACCAAACUUUAUGUUCUUGGCAAAAAUGUCAAGAACAAUGAAGAACACUCAUGAAAAACUCAAAAAAAUUCCAUGAACAUUUUUCAUCCAAAAACAUCCCAAAACCAUUUUAACUUAAGGGAAAUAACAUAUAACCAAACUAGGGUACAUAGGGGUUCCAAAAGUCACUUGAAAAACAUUUUAACAAGACAAACAAGAACCCAAAAAUCCACCCUUUGGAUUUGGCCGAAAAUCCCCAAAGUCAUGGCACCAAAUUUUAGCUCCAAUAUUCAUGCUCAUAUGAACUACAUCUACAACAUUUGAGAUGGCAAAUUUUCUAACAAAAUUUACAUUCAAAGAAACAAGAAUAAAGCUUGUAACAUAUUACAACUUUUAAAUCAAAACUAUGAACUACAAAACCCAAAAGGAUUCCCAACUACUAGACCUAGGCUCUGAUACCACUUGAAGGAAAAUUUGUGAAAAACAUGUUCAUUUGAAUAACAUCUAUAGCAUGCAAUUAACAAUUAAAAGGCGGAAUCAUGCUUGCAUGCAUUCAAAAACAAAACAUUACCCAUGAAAUUCAAAGCCUAGUAGAUUGGUGAACCAAGACUCAACUCAAAUCAAAGUGAGUUGAGAAAUAUAUACUUUUGUAGAUUCCUCUUUGCAUAAGCAAAGGCUAAUCACCCAAGAGAUAGGGCCUUCAUUCCUUGCUUCUUAGAUCCAUAGAUUUGGAUGGAAGAAUAGGUUUCUCCAAGUUCCCAAAAUUGAGAACCUCUAAGUCUCUACACCAAGGUUAGAUUGGAGAAGAAAUGAGUGACCUUGGAGUAGUGGGAUUGCUAGAUACACCCUCCAAGGGGGCCGGCCUCCUAGAGAGAAAAUGAGAGACAUGUUCUCAAUUUUCUCCAAAAGAAACCCAUUAUGAAUUUAGGCUAUAAAGUUCUUUAUAUAGUCACNNNNNNNNNNNNNNNNNNNNNNNNNNNNNNNNNNNNNNNNNNNNNNNNNNNNNNNNNNNNNNNNNNNNNNNNNNNNNNNNNNNNNNNNNNNNNNNNNNNNNNNNNNNNNNNNNNNNNNNNNNNNNNNNNNNNNNNNNNNNNNNNNNNNNNNNNNNNNNNNNNNNNNNNNNNNNNNNNNNNNNNNNNNNNNNNNNNNNNNNNNNNNNNNNNNNNNNNNNNNNNNNNNNNNNNNNNNNNNNNNNNNNNNNNNNNNNNNNNNNNNNNNNNNNNNNNNNNNNNNNNNNNNNNNNNNNNNNNNNNNNNNNNNNNNNNNNNNNNNNNNNNNNNNNNNNNNNNNNNNNNNNNNNNNNNNNNNNNNNNNNNNNNNNNNNNNNNNNNNNNNNNNNNNNNNNNNNNNNNNNNNNNNNNNNNNNNNNNNNNNNNNNNNNNNNNNNNNNNNNNNNNNNNNNNNNNNNNNNNNNNNNNNNNNNNNNNNNNNNNNNNNNNNNNNNNNNNNNNNNNNNNNNNNNNNNNNNNNNNNNNNNNNNNNNNNNNNNNNNNNNNNNNNNNNNNNNNNNNNNNNNNNNNNNNNNNNNNNNNNNNNNNNNNNNNNNNNNNNNNNNNNNNNNNNNNNNNNNNNNNNNNNNNNNNNNNNNNNNNNNNNNNNNNNNNNNNNNNNNNNNNNNNNNNNNNNNNNNNNNNNNNNNNNNNNNNNNNNNNNNNNNNNNNNNNNNNNNNNNNNNNNNNNNNNNNNNNNNNNNNNNNNNNNNNNNNNNNNNNNNNNNNNNNNNNNNNNNNNNNNNNNNNNNNNNNNNNNNNNNNNNNNNNNNNNNNNNNNNNNNNNNNNNNNNNNNNNNNNNNNNNNNNNNNNNNNNNNNNNNNNNNNNNNNNNNNNNNNNNNNNNNNNNNNNNNNNNNNNNNNNNNNNNNNNNNNNNNNNNNNNNNNNNNNNNNNNNNNNNNNNNNNNNNNNNNNNNNNNNNNNNNNNNNNNNNNNNNNNNNNNNNNNNNNNNNNNNNNNNNNNNNNNNNNNNNNNNNNNNNNNNNNNNNNNNNNNNNNNNNNNNNNNNNNNNNNNNNNNNNNNNNNNNNNNNNNNNNNNNNNNNNNNNNNNNNNNNNNNNNNNNNNNNNNNNNNNNNNNNNNNNNNNCUCGUUGAUCGUGUUUCAGUGGACUCAUUCGCUAUUGAGCACCUACAUGCUUGUCUUGAUGUCACACACACCAAUGACUCGAGACUAGUCACUCUCACUAAGAGAAGACAUAACAUGUACUGAUCUUAACGGACUGUCAAUGCCCAAUUGGCAAUCCUAUGAUCAGGAACGUUUAGGAUGUGUCUACGAAAGAAUGGUCUCAUGAAUCUAACUUCUUUAGAUCAUAUUCUCCCAAUCACAUAUUCAUUGGACUUAUCGUUUAAGCAUAUAACAUUUAUAUGAGACGGCUCAAACAAUAAUCUUUGCCCUUUAUAUUUAAACUAGAUUAGUUUAACAUAUGAAAUGUCCGUAAAGUAUCAUCAUAUGAUUGGCUUUAGGGCACAUUUCCAACACAUAUUUGUAACUUAUCUGAGAUAUCAAUAAACAAUCUUUGCUUUAUUUCAACGUAUUAUGUUAAAUACACCAAGGCCUUCUUCACUAAGUUCUUUGAAUUUUUCCUUUUGUUGAAACUUGUAUGUUGAAGCUUUAUGAGUGAAGCAUGUAGGUUGAGGUAGUGCUCCCUUAAUUUCCUGAGUGAGGAAAACUUCUCCAUUGGAGACUUGAAAAAAUCCAAGUCACUGAGCGGUCGUGAGAUUUCCGAGCAUCAAGGUGCAGUAGCAUAUGGUUGGAGUCCCCUAAGUCUCCGGUCGAGGGAGUUGACGAAUAAGGUGUCUUGCUAGUAACCAAGUUUCCAAAGUAACAAAACUUCACCAUUUUCCUUUCUAAGUGGUAGCCCAAAACUCCUCCUUCAUACAUAUUUGUUAUGAAAGUUGUUAGGCCUAAAGAAGAUGAGGCCUAGGCUAAUUUUCUUUUUUUUUUUUUUUUGAAUUUUUCAAUUUUCGAAUUUUUGAAUUUUUGAAUUUUCUAAUUUUCAAAUUUCCGAAAAAAAAAAUAUAUAUAUAUAUAUAUAUAUAUUAAGCUUUAUAGAUGAAGCUUUGUAGGUGAAGCUUUGAGGUUGAAGCUUUGUUGGGUACCAUGAAUUAAUUUUGCUUCACACUAUCUUGAUCAAGAUAGUGUGAAGUUUUUGUAGGUGAAGCUUUUGUGUUGAAACUUUGUAGGUGAAGCUUUUGUGAGUGAAGCUUUUAUGGUGGUUGAAGCUUUUGUUGGUGAAGUUUUUGUGGGUGAAGCUUUUGUGGUGGGGGAAGCUUUUGUGGGUGAAGCUUUUGUAGGCGAAGUUUUUGUGGUGGGUGAAGCUUUUGUGAGUGAAGUUUUUGUAGGUGAAGCUUUGGAGUUGAAGCUUUGUAGGUGAAGCUUGGGGGAAGCUUUUAUGGGUGAAGCUUUUGUAGGUGAAGCUAUUGUGGGUGAAGUUUUUGUAAGUGAAGCUUUGGAGUUGAAGCUUUGUAGGUGAAGCUUUGGAGUUGAAGAUUUUGUUAGGCACCAUGAAUUGAUUUUGCUUCACACUAUGUUGAUCAAGAUAGUUGAAGCUUUUGAGAAUUUGUAGUUGUCCUCCAUUGAUGAAGCUUUUGUGGUGAAACUUUGUUGGGUACCAUGAAUUGAUUUUGCUUCACACUAUCUUGAUCAAGAUAGUGUGAAACUUUUGAGAAUUUGUAGUUAUCCUCCAUUGAUGAAGCUUUUGUUGGUAAAGCUUUUGUGGUGAAGCUUUGUUGAAUUUUCCAAUUUCCUUUUUUUUUUUUUUUUUUGGGAAAACUAGAAAUUUGUUGAAUUUCCCAGUUUUCCUUUUUUUGGGGGGGGGAAUUAGAAAUUUGAAAAUGUGGGAGAGACAACAUAUACAAAUUUUGCUUCCACACUGUUGAGCAAGAGAUUGUGAUGCAAGCCACACCUUGUGGUAGUCGAAGGUUUAGAUGAACCAUAUAAAUUGAAUUUGCUUCAAAUAGUUUUGAUCAAGAGUGUGUGAAGCUUUCUACAAGUUGUAAUUGCCCUUCAUUGAUGAAGCUUUUGUUGGCACCAUAAAUUGGUUUUGCUUCACACUGUCUUGAUCAAAAGUGUGUGAAGCUUUUGAGAAUUGUGGUUGAACUUCUUUGAUGAGGCUUUUGUUGGCACCAUAAAUUGGUUUUGCUUCACACUAUCUUGAUCAAGAGUGUGUGAAGCUUUUGAAAAUUGUGGUUGCCCUCUAUUGAUGAAGCUCUUGUUGGCACCAUAAAUUGGUUUUGCUUCACACUGUCUUGAUCAAAAGUGUGUACAGCUUUUGAGAAUUGUGGUUGCCCUUCUUUGAUGAAACUCUUGUUGGUACUAUAAAUUGGUUUUGCUUCACACUGUCUUGAUCAAGAGUGUGUGAAGCUUUUGAGAAUUAUGGUUGCCCUCCACUGAUGAAGCUCUUGUUGGCACCAUAAAUUGGUUUUGCUUCACACUGUCUUAAUCAAUAGUGUGUGAAGCUUUUGAGAAUUGUGGUUACCCUCCAUUGAUGAAGCUCUUGUUAGCAUCAUGAAUUGGUUUUGCUUCACAUUUUCUUGAUCAAGAGUGUGUGAAGCUUUUGAGAAUUGUGGUUGUCCUCCAUUGAUGAAGCUCUUGUUGGCACAAUAAAUUGGUUUUGCUUCACAUUGUCUUGAUCAAGAGUGUGUGAAGCUUUUGAGAAUUAUGGUUGCCCUUCAUUGAUGAAGCUCUUGUUGGCACCAUAAAUUGGUUUUGCUUCACACUGUAUUGAUCAAGAGUGUGUAAAGCUUUUCAGAAUUGUGGUUGCCCUCCAUUGAUGAAGCUCUUGUUGGCACCAUAAAUUGGUUUUGCUUCACACUGUCUUGGUCAAUAAUGUGUGAAGCUUUUGUACGUGUUGUGGUUGAACUCCUUUGAUGAAGCUCUUGUUGACACCAUAAAUUGGUUUUGCUUCACAUUGUCUUGAUCAAGAGUGUGUGAAGCUUUCUAAGAGUUGUAGUGUUUGCAUUGUUACAUGGGAGAAAUGUCUGAAGCAGAUGUAAGAGGGCUGAAUAGCUUGAUCUUCAUAUGUCAUGCACUGAAGUUGUUGUUGGCUUGCAAUAAGACUUUGUUGGUGACUAUAACUCUUGUUGGGCAUAAGUGCUCCCCUAGUUGAGUUGUCAAGCUUGAAGGUUUUUUAUUAUUUGUGAAUGCUAGGAGUUCACAUGUACAAGUUGUACCACUUGUCUUCUGGUAGGUGGAAUGAAUGGUGAGUUGCUUUCAUCACUUGGUUGGUGGUACGAAUGUGAGUUCCUUCAUCACUUUUCAUCACAUUUCAUCACAUGGUUGGUGGCAUGAAGAUGAGUUCCUUCUUUACCUGGUUGGUGGCAUGAGUGGUAAGUUGCCAAAUGAUAUUAGAGUACGGGUUGUACAUUUCAUCACCUGGUUGGUGGCAUGAAGGAGAGUACGGGUUGUACAUUUCACCACCUGGUUGGUGGCAUGAAGAUGAGUUCCUUCUUCACCUGGUUGGUGGCAUGAGUGGCAAGUUGCCAAAUGAUAUUAGAGUACGGGUUGUACAUUUCAUCAGCUGGUUGGUUGCAUGAAGAUGAGUUCCUUCUUCACCUGGUUGGUGGCAUGAGUGGCAAGUUGCCAAAUGAUAUUAGAGUACGGGUUGUACAUUUCAUCAGCUGGUUGGUUGCAUGAAGAUGAGUUCCUUCUUCACCUGGUUGGUGGCAUGAGUGGCAAGUUGCCAAAUGAUAUUAGAGUAUGGGUUGUACAUUUCAUCACCUGGUUGGUGGCAUGAAGGAGAGUACGGGUUGUACAUUUCAUCACCUGGUUGGUGGCAUGAAGGAGAGUACGGGUUGUACAUUUCAUCACCUGGUUGGUGGCAUGAAGAUGAGUUUCUUCUUCACAUUUCAUCACCUGGUUGGUGAGAAUAAGAGCAAGGUGUCGAGGCACAUUGUAGCAAGUUUCGAAUGACACAAAGUAUGUUGAACCCUUUCGAAGCAUAGUUGGUUUAUGUAUGGAUGUGUUGGAAUGUAUGAUGUUUAUAGUGAUUGAUAUGAGUGAUGCUUAUGAAUGUUUUGCUAUGCAUGAAGGGAUUCAUGCUUUUGAUAUGUGAACCAUGUUGGUUGUAACACUUAAUAUCACAUACUUUGUGUCAAAGUACACAUGUUGAAACUUUGAGUUGGAGUAUAAGGGUAGGUCAGCAUGGACCAAGUGUUCCAGUGUUAGGAACGCAAAAGACUCAGUAGAAGUUGUCUGAAUUCCCUUUUCUUUAAAUAUUUGCCGAAUGGCUUGUGUGACAAAAGAUCUCAAGCGAUUGAGAGUCAAAACAUUUGUAAUGUGUAUGCCUUCUUAUAAUAGCAUUUCCUUCAGUACCUAGUCUUCCACUUUGAAAGAGUGAGGCUUGGCCCAAUAGUCAUAAUAGUUGACGAUAAGUUCACCCCUGGUUGUCUUGAUACGAACUUUUAUCCCUCUUGUUGUAAUGGGCUUGCUGAGAGUAAAAAGAUUUCCUCUUACCAAGAGACAGAUACAUUUGGUGACUUAGCGAGUAGCUAAAUGAGGUAGGAGAUAAUGCAAUGGGUGUCUAAAUGGCCAAGAUCUUUUCACUUGGUAGAACUUGACUUCCACUUCCCACUUGUUGAUAGGGUUAACCAUAUGAGGGUUCCCUUGGUAUGUCCUUGCUUCAGCGGAGGUGUGGUUGUAAGCAUGUGCCAUCACCUUAGAGUAUGUCUUUCAAGUGUUGGCAUUGAUCAUGUACUUGAACAAACAAUCACGUAGGUCUGCCGUGAAGGCAUUGAGGGCGGUUUUGUCAUUUGCCUCAGCGCAGCGAGAAUGCUCAUGGCUGAAGCAACCGGCAUACUCUAGUAGUGACUUGUCCGGCUUCUAGCUAAUAGUGUACAAUUCAUCUGCAGAAUGCAAGCGAUCGGUCUGGAAGAUGUGUUGAGAGACAAAUAGUUUCCUCAGUUCCUCAAACGAGUCUACUGCCUCAGGUGGAAGACAACAAUACCAGUUUAGAGCUCCGCCAGAAAGGGUAGAGGGGAAGAGAAGACAUCGCUCUUCGUCGGUGUGCAUCUGAUAUUCCACGGUGGACUUAAAGAGGUUAAAGUGUUCAAUUGGGUCAUCAUUUCCAGUAUAGAGUCGUAAAUCAAGCUUUUGUUUUGUCUUCGCUUGAAAUGGGGUGUCGAGGAUCCUCCUUGUGAGAGGGCCAAGCCUGAGUUGGUUCCAAUCAGGUAUCUAGACCUGACGUUCAACCUUCAACUUGUUUACUUCCUCAAAGAGUUGUAGGACAAUGGGGUCUUGAGUGAAGUCAGUACUACUGGAAUUUUCUUUCGUAAGUCUCCAUCGCCUCUUGGAAGUAGGAAGGUUUGAGCAAGGGUGUGUGGUUUUUCCUUGGACUCGCCGUACUAACUUUUAGGGCGAGUCUAUCGGAAUACCUCAAAGUCCACUAUACCUUUAUGUUCCUUUGGGACCUGUCGUUCCUUCCCUAGAUUGGUAGCUGGCCUGGGUUGUGGGAUAGGAUUGAGUCUUUCAAAAACCCUUGGGUCAUUAAUCUUCAAGCAUAUGUAGAGGGGAUUCUCUUGACGUUGCUUUAGGAAGCUUCGGCAGUCACGAUAAACGGUUUUCCAACCUUCCAACCCUUCUGUAAGGAAGUGUCUUCCUCCACUUCUCCUGCUUCAGGUUGAAGCAUCUGGGUUGAGAGAAGUCUCAUGUUGAUCAAUGUUUUGAUGAUUAGCUCGCUCCUCAUCAAGGAUACCCAUGUCAAAAGGAGGUGACCCUUCGUGUUGGGGGGCACCCAGAUGAUGGUUGAUGUCCACAGGGGCAACGAGCUCGCGUGUUUGAGUACGCCUAGUUUCGUGAAGCGUCUCAAAGAGCUUCUCAUACUGCUCUUGGAAGACCUCAUUCGUCAUUGCUAUCUUGUUGUUCUGAACUUCUAGUUCAUCAACUUUAACUUGAAGAGCAACCAUUUUUCCUCCCUUCUUUCGUUGCUUAGCACUAGCUGCAAUAGGGGUUUCAUUCUGUGUGAUGUGGCUUCCUUCGCUCCCCAUGUUGGAGAGGGAUGCUUGGUCAAAAGAGAGUGUACGAAUGGUGGAAACCAGCUUAACAAAGCUGAAAAGAAUGGGAAUAAGUGUCGUUCCCACAGACGACGCCAAAUGUUGAUGCACAAAAUCAGUGAAGACUUUGGUACAACAUAAAGUGUUAAGUUUGUGACCUUCGCUAGAUUGCUCCGGUCACUAGUGUGGAUAAGUAUGUAAAUGGAUGCAGAUAGGGAAGCAAACACAAGAUGUACGUGGUUCACCCAGAUUGGCUACGUCUAGGGAGUAGAUGAGUUCUCAUUAAUUGUGAAGGGUUUACACAAGUACAUAGGUUCAAGCUCUCAUUUUGUGAGUAUUAGUGAAUGAUUUAGUAAAAAUGACAUUCGGAAAUAUUGUGAGAGAAUGAUCUCUAUUUAUAGAAGAGAGUUUCUAGUUUCAUUCUAACAUUAACACGUGUCGUGUUGUGAUUGGCUUCUGAUGUUGACACAUGUCGUGCUAUGAUUGGCUUCUGAUGUCGACACGUGUCGCACUGUGAUUGGCCUCCUAAUUUGAGGGAAACUCUUCUGGGUCCUUGAUGGUAUAACGUUGACUGGUGCUCAGUAGUUUCGGGAUUAGUCAAGUAUGGUACAAACAAGUUGCUUCUGCACAUUUAGCAUACAGAAGGCUCUUCUGACAUACUAUUAUCUUGUUGAUUAAGUGUUAAAUAAUUGCGUUGUUACAUAAAAAAGGAAAGAGAACAAUGAGUUGCUCUCGUGCAUGUAGCAUAGCAGGCCCCUCCAACAACGACAAACUAUUAGCUUAUAGGUCAGGUGUAAAUAUGAUACGUGUGUCGUUACGUGAAAAAGAAAGAAAGCAAUGAGUUGCUCCAACAUUUGGCAUAACGAACGCCUUUGACAUACUAUUAGCUUAUUGGUCAAGUGUCCAAACAAUUGCAUAGUUACGUUAAAAAAGGAAAUGUAUCAAUUGCUACCGCAUUUGGCUAGCAAGACCCUCCGACAAACAAUUAGUUUAUUAGUCAAGCAUCUCCUAGAUAAUUGUGUCAUUAUGUAUAAAGGAAAGAGAACAAUGAGUUGCUCUAACAUUUAGCAUAACGGAUGCCUCCGACGUACUAUUAGCUUAUUGGUUGAGUGCCCAGACAAUUGCAUCGUUACAUUAAAAAGGAAAGGUAUCAACAAGUUGCUACCACAUCUGGCAUAGCGAGACCCUUAUUAGCUUAUUAGUCAAACAUCUCCUAGAUAAUUGUGUCAUUGUGAAAUCUCGUUCCUAGAUUUCACUAUUAUAAUCUACGUAUUUGCAUUAUUGAGAUUUUAUAUUAUUUUUCGAGAAUUUAUUUUAAUUUGUUUGAAUUUAGAUUUUAAUUAAGCAAGUUACGAAGUUUGAAAUUUUAAAAUAAAUUAUUUAAAAUUCCUGGACCGUUCGAGGUCACAAUUUAUAUUUUCGAAUAGAGCUCGAUCUCAAGAACGCGUAGGCGCAAACCAUUCGUGAAAUGGAGUUGUAAUGAAAGAGUUAUUAACGUUUGAAGUUAUGGACAUUUUUGUAAAUUGGCCCUCAUUUAGAAGGCUCCAGAUUUUCGGGAGCAAAGGAAAGGCCAUGUGUGUGGCUGGGAUGAAAGGAAAAGAAAAGAAAUGGGAGGGAUGGACGGCUGUGAUGGAAAUGAGAGAAGAGAAAUGAGAGAAAUGAGGGAAAAGAUGGGGGAGGAGGACGAAUCAGAAAAGAAAGAAAUGAGGGGAAAUGAGAAAAAGGGGGAUGCAAGGGAUCCCUCGACUCGUUUGCAGUCAUGACCCGAACCGGUCCUCUUCAUCUUCUCCAGCCGUUUUUCGUCGGUUUUUCCAGUGAACCACGUUACCUAUCUCCAUGUAAAAUGUUCUACGACCUUCCCUCUACGUAUUACAACCCAAAAUUGUAGUAAAUUAGCUUUAAACUCGGAAAAAACCGCAUCGAUGGGUGCAGGUGUUCUUGCUAUCGAUCCUCUAAAUUUUGAAACAUUUUCCUUUGAUCUCCACCACCAUUAGAUUCACAUAAACCUCAGGAACAAAUCCCAUGCAUUGGUUGGGGCGUCGGAGCUGUUUUGGAGUCGAAUCAAGAACACCCAAAAUCAUGGGUUUCUGGUGGUUCGUGGGCAAUUUGAGUUUUUUCCCGGAAAAAUUGAACUUGGCCAUAGGUAUGAAAAUUACUCCGCUCACUGAGAUAUACUUGCCUGUAAAAUUUGGUAAUUUUUUUAAAUAGUUGAGUUUUCCAACGAGUCAGGGCGGCCGACCGCCACCCACGACGGCGCGUGGCCAGUGGGCCAAUGAUGUCUUCCUAAGUUCAAGUAGAUUCCCUAAUUCCAUAACUGAUGUCUGUAUGACGUAAUUUGAUUGUUUGAAGUAAGUUUCAUUACGAUACAUUACUUGAUCAAAAUAUGAAUCAACAAUCCCACCGUUGAAUCGUCACCAAACUUUAAUACAUUAUAGAAUGUAAUAUUUGAGGAUAGCUAGAACUUAUGGAUUGGAAAUCUGAUGUACGGAUCUUCCCAAAUUAGAUUUCUAAGUUAGUAAAAUUAAUUGAUAACUAUCACUUAAUUCUAGCAAUUGGCAGAGAUCCGACCGUCGGAUCACGAUGAAAUUUUAGUAUGUUGUUCUAGAAGAAGAAUGUAUAUUUUAGAAGGUUAUGGAUCUGAAAUCCGAUGUGGAGAUCUUCCAGAUUGAUCGAGAGUUGACUUUUGGUCAACAUGUCUCGAAUCGUUUAUAAAGUUAAAAUUAGUAUUAAUAGAGGCUCAGUGAGGCUUUGCGGCUUAUCUCGAUGAGUGACUUUAAUAUAUGUGAUAUGGUCAUUACCCGAUUCUUUAUAUUAAUAUCCUUUGUGGAUAUAACUUGGUUUUAUAAAUGUGUUUUUUGUUAAAAUGUGACUUAGUUUUAUAAAUGUGUUUUUUGUUAAAAUGUGAUUCUUUAAUAAUUGGCCAUCGAUUAAUUUUUAUUAAAUGUGAUUGAUCCAUGGAUUGGUAAUAUUUGUGAAAAAAGUGAUUUGAAUUGCAUAUUGAAAUGUUUGUUAAAUUGAGGGCUAGUAGGAGACCAUGACCCUACUUGGUUAAUCCGCAAUAGGGGGUGGUCAUGCUUGGUUAAUCCGUGAUAAGGGACCAUGGUCCUGCUCGGUUAAUCUGCGAUAGGGGACCAUAUUAUUUAUGGAUCGUGCUUGGUUAAUCUGCGAUAGGCAAUCCUUAUGGCUAUACAUACUUAGGAGUGAUCAUGCUUGGUUAAUUCACGAUAGGUGAUCACUGCCUAACAAUGUCGUAGAUGUGACUCUGCUUGGUUAAUCUGUGAUAGGGGGUCACUACCUACUUAGUUAUCUUGGUCCUACUUGGUUAAUCCGCGAUAGGGGACCAUAUUUCCUAUGGAUCGUGCUUUGUUAAUCUGCGAUAAGCGAUCUUUAUAUCUUUGGUAUGGCCAUACACACACACUUAAGGGUGAUCAUGCUUGGUUAAUCCGCAAUAGGUGAUCACUACCUAACAGAUGCGUAGGAGUGACUCUGUUUGGUUAAUCCGAGAUAAGGGCUCACUGCAUACUUGGUUACUGUAUGGGUGGUUCUGCUUGGUUAAUCUGUGAUAAGGGGCCACUUCCUGUUUGGUUACAUAUAUAGGCUUCGGCCGAACUGCAUCCCUCUAGCCCUAGUGUUUAAUGCACAUGUGAAUGAUGGAUUUUGGGAAUCUUGUGGUUUGAAUUAGAAAAAGUGUUGGAUGUCUGGGUGACUCCUUCAGAGUUUUCAACAACUUGAUUAUGAUUUCAUAAAGCAUGAUUCUAUACUUGAUGUUUAUAGAUUGUGAUCGAUGGUCUGUUUUUAUUAAAUAUCACAUACUUGUAUUAUUGUCACUCACUCGAGCUUCGCAGCUUAUCCGAGCAUCUGAUUUACCCAGUAUGCCAAGUAUGGGUAGAUUACGAGAAGCAACUUGGUAUUUUAGUUUCGUUGAGUGGUUCUGAACCCAAGAUUGUUGGAUUCCGUUGAGUGGUCCAGAAUCUUUGCUCUUGUUCAUUUCCAUAAGGUUAUCUUAGAAUCCUAUAUUCGAGUGAAUGGGAAUUACCCACAAUAGAUCUUGUGAAUACAAAUUAGAAUUACCAUGUUAUUAUUCAUUAUCCAGGGAAAUUAUAUAAAGUUCCUUGGUUAAAUUCGUGAAAUAAUAUGUUAUCGCAUUGUUUGAUUAACGUAAUUUAAUGCUAAGAUCGUGCAUCUUUGAUUCAUGAAUUGAUUUGACGGGAUUAUGGAAUGAAGCUGGAUAUGAGUGUUGUUAUUAUAAUUAUUUUAGUUGAUCAAUGUUUCUAGAGAAUAAUAUUGUGCAUUGUUAAUUCUUUAAUAUGUUACAUGCUAUGAAUUGUGAUUUUAUGUGGGAAACAUGAUGAUUUAUGUGAUGGAUGAAGUGGAAAUGUUAAUCGUCAUGUGGGAUUGUUAUGUUGGAUAUCAUUGUUAUUGUUAUGGUUAGAGUUGUUGAUAAAUAUGGCAAGAGAAUAUGAUUGUGCUUCGUCAUUUGUUCUUUGAAAUAUUGCAUGAUAUGCAUUGUGGUAUAUUGUUGGGACAUAACAAUUUAUGUGAUGAAUAUUCGAGUGUAGUGAAAUAAUGAACUAAGAAUGACUUGAUCCCUAUUUAGGGUAUGUAGGCAGUGUAAUGAGGAUGUUAGAUGCAGCCAUAAAAUCUACGAAAAAUUACUAUGCGAAUCGAUUCUUGAACUGUGUUUUGCCAUAUCCCGAUGGCAGGGUAUGUUUGAGAUACGAGUAUUUGGUGACAUCACGUGUCACUCCUGGAUGUAUGUCGGGAUCAGGGCAUGACAGUCGUUAUGUAAAAAAGGAAAGAGAGCAAUGAGUUGCUCCAACAUUUGGCAUAACAGACGCCUCUGACAUGCUAUUAGCUUAUUGGUCGAGUGUCCAGACAAUUGCAUCAUUACGUUAGAAAGGAAAGGUAUCAAUGAGUUGCUACCGCAUUUGGCAUAGCGAGACCCUCCGACAAACUAUUAGCUUAUUAGUCAAGCAUCUCCUAGAUAAUUGUGUCGUUAUGUAAAAAAGGUAAUGGAGUAAUGAGUUGCUCCCACAUUUGGCAUAGCGGAUUCCUCUGACAGGCUAUUAACUUACUGGUCAAGUAGAUAAUUUUAUGGUUAUUCCUUACCUAAGAGGUCUUUCAGCCACAUGGAUAGCUCAACGUGUCAUCAGCGCUUGCCCUUGAGAUGUGAAUCGUCCAAGCCGCAUUGGGUCAAAGAAAAACGUUAAGUGAAAACUAAAACAAUGUUUGGCUUCUUUUGUUAAGGAGUUAUUUUUCUUUACACGCAAAUCGCAAAUUGAAACAUAAUGAAGGAGAAGUGAUUUUUAAACUCUUUUAGAUUAAAUAAGAUUAAAAGAGAAUCAAAAGAUAGAAACAAAUAAUAGUGUGUGGAAUGUGAUAAUAAGUGUGUAUAAAUCAUUUUCCACGCAUAUCAGAUUGCGAUUUAUAUGUAACGAGAAAAGAAAAGUGUCCUGUUACAUGUAAGAGUCAGGUAUUUUCUUCUUAAAUGACCAAACAAAGCAAGACAUGCCUUUCAAACCAAGGACAGAUCAUAUUCAUUUAGUACCACUACAAGUGCAGUUUGGCAUUAAAUCCUUGGGAGUAGUAAUGAAAAAGAUGGCAAGGACAAUUAAUUCACAUGAAACUAACUGGAUUAAUGAAGCAACUUGUGGAUAGGAUCCUUUUUUCAACUCACUGUGUUCCGAGUUCAAAGUUUUCCCGAUUAGAAUGGUAAUAUCGCUUGCAAUAAAAAUUAAAAAAAAAUUAAAAUUAAAAGACUGGAGCAAUGGCAUAGCUUUCCACGUUUCCCUUCAUGCAGUAGAAAUUAAAGACAAACCUGCUGGCCUUGGCCUCUUCUGUGCCUUCCUCAUGUAACCUCCAAUUCUGUGCUAGCAAGCUAUACACCACCACAGAAAGAGCUAGCCUUUUUAUGCCCCUUGCGUUUAUCUAGUUGCGUUUCUGCAAUUACUUGUGCUUUGCUUUCUCUCUUCUGAAAAGAAGAAGGGAAAAAUGGUUGGUUUUGGUUGUAGUGGUGGUGAUGAACAGGAUUUUCAAGGAUCUUUUCCGACUCCUAUCGUCACUCGUAGCGAUGACAGAGUUGUUCUCGAGGGUGGGGAGGCGGCGGUGGUCGAGCAGGUUGAUCGUGAAACUCGUUAUCUUCAGCUGCCUCAAGACUGUGUUCUUAAAGCAAAGCUCAGACCCCGACUUCAAUGGACUCCUGAGCUUCAUACCCGCUUUGUUGAUGCUGUCAAUCAGCUUGGAGGCCCUCACAGUGAGUAACCCUUCUCCUUCUUCCUUGGCCUUGAGAUUUUUCGCUUGUUUUCGGAUUUCGGUUUCUGAUUGUGUCACGCGUUACAUUUUGCAGAGUCAACUCCGAAGAAAGUUCAGCAGGCAAUGGGUAUCCAGGGAAUAACUCUUUUCCAAGUGAAGAGCCACCUCCAGGUCUGUCUGAUCCAUGCAUGAUUCAUUGAUGCUUGCGGAAAAAUUCUCUGAAAAUAUGCACAAACAGAACCGGUUAUAUGUACCACUUGUGUUACGACACAAAGGAAAAUUUUCUCUUUACUGAGGUCUUAUUAGUGUCCAAAUCCGGCUCUGAGGCAAUACGAAUAAAACACGUGCAUUCGGCCUCACUUUAAACCAUGCUUCAUAAGUUUUCUCAUUUAUCGCAUUGAGAAGGAAAACCCACAAAUUUUCCUUAUUCUUCUAAAUAAUCUGAUGUGCUUUAAAUUCAUAGUGUUUAAGGAUGGUUGGUAGAUUAGCUUGGAAAGUUUUCUAAUUUCACUAAUUUUUUUUUAAAUAAAAGAAAAUCAUAUUAAGGUAUAAAUUAGGAAGGUAUCAUUGCAUUUUUGUCUUUGACAUCAGUUUGCUUUGAGACGGUUCUGUUAGUAUCCUUCGUAUGUAAAAGUUUGUAACCAAUUUUGUUUGCGUAUAAUUACUGGAAUUCUAAUGUUAAGUGCUAAUGUACUAGAGAAGUUUUUAAAUUUCACUGUUACAAGUGAUUGAUGUGGUAAUCAUUUUUGCAGAAAUACAGACUUGGAAGGUACUCAGGGAAGGAAUGGACGGAGGGGACACGAAUCUGUAUGUUCUUCCUAAAAACUUAUCCUUAACUAAACAGUUGAUAUAGUGAAAACAAGGCCGGCCAAGUCUAGUGCGGGCUGGGUGAUCGUUCAAGGCUCAAAAAAUUGGGGACAUCAAAAUUAUUAGGAUGGUAUAUUUAUAUAUGUUUUUGUAAUAGUAUAAAUUUAUAAACUUUGGUUAAAUGAUAAAGAAGUUCAGUUAGAACUAAUAGUUUUUGUUGUUUAAAAUUAAUAAGGAGAUCUUGGGUUCAAAACACUAUGGUUAACCAGAAGUGAUGGUUUAUGUUGUUUAAAAUUAAUGAGGGUGUCGUGAUUCAAACACCUUUCCCAUUUGUACAAAUUUCUUUUCAUAAUAAAAUUUAUAAAAUUUGGUUAAAUAACCAAGAAGUUUUAUCAUAAACAAUUGUUUUUUUUUGUUUAAUAUUAUCGGGAGGUCAAGAGUUUGAAAUGCUAUACCUAUAUCCAUGUUUUUUCUUUCCAAUUUUUUCGAAUUUAUUUUUAGUUGUUAAUUUGUUUUUAAUUACUAGCUAAUAUUUAUGUGGGUUGCAAAUUUUAAACAUUAAUUUCAAUUCAAGUCUAACCUUCAACAAAGAGUAAUGUGCAUACCAAAUUUGCAAAUCAUAUAAGGUGUUACCAAGGUUUUAAUUUAGUGUCCAUUCAUUGCUUAUACAUGUCAAUUAAAGACUCGAAAAUAUUAUUAUUUUUUUAGCCUCAUAUUGAAAAGUUAGUAAAUAAGAAAAAACACCUCACGGCUUUAUAAAUGUACUUUAAAAGCUUAGAUAUUAGAGAAACAAACUCAACAGCUAUCUACUUGUAAGCUCAGAGUUUUUUUUAUUCCUUUCUCUGAAUACAAAAUAAAUUAGUUUUUCUAUGUCUCUAAAUUAUUGAGUUUGAAGUGUUUUUCAAAUUAUACUUUUAUCGAAGCCUCACGUGUGAAAACAAAUCAUUUUUAUUAUAUGAAGUUGAGGCAUAUUUUUUGACGUGGCCUCGGUCCUCAAAAAUCUUAUGACCGGCCCUAAGUGAAAAUAACUUGUGCGUUGUGAAAGAUGUUUCAUGUUUGAGUUGCUGCAUUUAGAUUUUCACUGCCACUAAGCGAAAGAGACCUCAGUUUCACAGGACUUGGAAGAAGGCCUAAGCACUAGCCGUACUCCCUUGCAACUCCCGCAGACCGCGACAAUGUAUGAUUUGCUCUGCUCCUCUAUCUUCCAUUCGAAUGCACUUGUUAACUUAUUCGGAAAGGUAGUUAUUUUCGCACUCUUAGUUCCUCAUUAUGCAACUUUGUCUGUUGAUUCUCCCUCGAUUUAUUAAAUCGAAGGCUGGAAACGAGAAGACAAGUGCCGAAAUAGAAAAUGAGAGUGCGGAAAAUCAUUACCCUAGUUCCAUUUUCAAGUGCAUUAUCUUGUAAAUGCUGUGAUGUUUUAUGUUUUGGGUUGUGGCUCCAUGUAUAGGCCCUCUGAUGAACUGGUAAAGGCAGCUGCCGAUGAAGAAAGAAUUAGAAUGCAAAUUGAGGCAAGUUUUCAAGUUACGGAAACUGAUUUGGGAACCUAAGGUGAUAUAUGUAAACCUUCUUCUGUAUUCUUAAUGCACACCACAACUUUGCAGGCUGGGAGGCAAUUGCAAUUGUGGCAGGAUGCUGAGCAGAGAUACAUGAAUUUUGCUAUGGAGAACGCGCAUAAGAAGCUUACUGAGCAAUUUUUUGGUGGUGCAAUUGCCAAGGGCAUGCUAAACGGCGUUUCAGGUUUAGGAACAAUGGAACUAUACCCGGCAUAUCAGAUGGCUCUGGGAAACAGCAUGCAGCCUAGCCUUGAGGGCCACUCGACCUCUCACGGGCAUUCGGAGAAUUCAUCUGUCGAAAAUUUCCAAACUCAUACUGAAGAUGACGAGAAAACGGAGCAGAGCUUGGACGAUGACCCUGCGGAAGCUUACCUGAUCGACCCGGAUCCAGAUAUGGAGUGAUAGGGCACUCUGGAUGAAAGAACAAAAUCACCCUUGUGUUGUUUCCUUAUGGAGUUUCGUAAGUUAAUAUUUUACCCUUUGCCUUUUGGUGUAAAACUUUGACAGCGUCCGUUUGCUUAUGUCGCAAGUUUCGCUUACCAAACAGUAAAGCAGUAGGCAGUACGAGUAAUCAGAGCGUCCGUUUGAUAACUUAUUUCGUUUUCGAGAAAACUAAACUGAAACAUGUUUGGUAAUUGUUUUUCGUUUUCAAACCAAAACCAAAACCAAGUUAAAUUUUGAAAACUCGCAGAAGUAGCUUUCAUUUUAUUUUUCAAACAAUUGUAGCUUUCAUUUUAUUUUUCAAAAACUUGAAAACGAAAUGACAUCAAUCGCCCCGAAACGGAUAUCAAAUGCCCCUAAGCUUUCAACUUAUUAAACAAAUUUAACGGUUGAACUGAACUUAACCCGGUAAAUCAAAUUGGGAAAUUAACAGCAAAAAAUCAAUCUGUUGAGAAUUAAAAGAAUUAUCCAAUUUAGCUUUCCAUUCCAAAUAUGAAAUAAAAGAGAAUACAAGGAUUGAAGGUCCCCGAGCUACAACUUUCUAACACAAUGUGAUUAAACUAAAGUAAAAGCGCAACGCUAGUGAAGCAGUAAAACGAAAUGGGAUAGACGGGUAAAGGGAGAAUCUGCCGCCGGUGAUGUCGCAAACGAGGGCAGUACACAGAAAACAAAGGACUUCAUGCGCUAUCACCAGAGAGCUGCUUCAGAUACCGCACCACCGUCAACUUUCAGAUGCAACCAAGUGUAAAGGCCAAAAUGAUAUAACCAGAAAUACUUCCUUCCGAACAUAUAGCAGACUCACAUUUCCCAACUGUUUGAUAACAAUGCCAGCCAACACUUUUCUAGUCGAUCUUUACGGAUGAGAAGAGGUAAUGAACAAAGUAGAAAGACAUGAGAAAGCCAAUGGUGCCAGUUGACAACAUGAUUGCAGUUGCCAUGAUCAAUGAAUAACCGAGGUAAAGGAUAGCCGACACAGGCCCACUCAAACUCUGCAGGUCAAAUACCAGGUAAUUGAUGGAGUACAGGAACACGUAAAAGGAAACUGAACCUGAGGCAAAGAAAGCCUUCCACCACCACCUCCAAUCCUCCACACAAAGAUGCAUGUAUGUGAGAACUACUGAAACUUCAGCACAAACAAUAACCAACAACGUAAGCACUAUAAAAAGGAAACCGAAGACAUAAUAAAACCUUCCAAGCCAGAUGCUAGAAAGGAUGAAGAAGAGUUCAAUGAAAAGGGUUCCAAACGGAAGUGUCCCAGCACCAAGAACAAGAAGCCAUGAUGGAUAUUUGCGCGCAGGAAUCUCCCUUGGAAUCUGGUUGGUUCUUACAGGAUAUGAAAUUGGCUCAGCUCGUGUGCCUAAGAAUCCUCCAAGAAGGGUGAGAGGCACGGAAAUGCAGAACCAGAGGGAGAUCAGUAUAAAAUACAAAGAAAUGGGAAGGGCACCAGUACUCUUGCUGCCCCAUAGAAUGAAAUUCAGUAUUGUAAGAAUAACAAAGACGAUUCCAGGAAAGAAGCACGCCACAAACCAGGAAACCGAUCUCCACCCUUCGGAAGUUCCCUUUAUGGUUCUCCACAUACGGACAGCAACAUAACCAGCAAUAAUCCCAAGGAAAAGAUAUAGAAUAAUCAUUCCGGUCAGUAGCAUUCCUCGUGAAGCUGGUGACAUGAAACCAAAUGCUGCAAAGAUGAUUGUGACAACUGCCAUCCCUGUAAUCUGAACCCCAUCUCCAACCAUCACGCAAAGAAGCUUGGGAGAAUCUGGUUCUCUGAACACAUCUCCCACAACAAGCUUCCACCCAGAGAGCUCUUCAUUCAUUUGAGCUUGAGAUUCUUUGUCCAGUUCUUCGUAUCUUGUUAAAUCCCUCCUCACAGUCCUUAGGAAUAUGACAAAGACUAUACCAGCGAGGAAAAGGAUCACCAUUAAUGAAUUCAGGAUAGAGAACCAGUGCACACGGGCACCCUCCAUCUUCAAAUAAGCAUCCCACCUUGAUGGCCAUCUUAUAUCACUUUUCACAAACUCAACCUCAUAAGUAAAUGAUACUUUCUCUUGCUCCCUUAUUAUUUGAGACUUUUCAACCUCUGAGGGACAAUUUACAGGUUGGAUUUUUUCAUACAUGGCUUUUUUCUUCAUGGCCUCUGGGUCAUAUUUAAUGCUGCAAGGGGAAACCUCAAAGCCAACAAUCUCAAACCCAGAUGCCUUCUUCUUAUCAGCUUCUGAAAUGACACCCAUGCCUUCUUCCCCAGUCCCGAUUAUCUGAACACCACUCCCUUCAUACUCAUGAAUCAAAACAGUGAACUUGAGGUGAUUGAUGAUGUAAUCUUCUUUACCGUUGGGUGGUGUGUACCCAACAGGAAACCCAGUCCACUGAAUCUUAACCCCAUUUUGAUAAGCAUACCUCAUCGCAGGCAAAUUAUCAAGGAUCAUAUUGACCUGAUACAGAUCACGGGUCCUCUGUUUUAGCAGCUUUACGUCGUGCUCAGUCAAGGCGGGUGUGGUACACAGGUAAAGAGUCUCAUUCACAGUCAUAUUGAAGCGGUACGCAGAGGUUUCGAUCUCAUCUCCCAUAAGGAGUUCCCCGAGAUUCUCAGCGCUUUUCUUGAUACCUUCAGGGGGUUUGCAAUAAGGGAGACUGUAGUAGCUGAAGGGCAGCUCAGUCUCUAUAGAAGUCAAGGAGUUAACUUUGGUAAUGAUUUGUUGCCCUUUCGAAUAUGUAUGCAUGUAGCUUCCGGGGAGAUAAAACCCAUUACAGGUGUGCACAAAUACAAUCAAAACAAGCAGAGCCCAUUUGAUUGAGGGCAUUCCCGGAAUCGAUGUCGCCAUCGGAAUCGAAAAGAAAACAACACUCACCACAAGUUGGAGUGAGCAGUGGAUCUAAGCUAGCUCUUACAGUUGCAUCCACCAAUUAAUCUACACAAAUUUCAAACAGAAAACAUACUAAUAUUAGCCAAAAUAACACAAAGACUGAAAAUUUAACAAAAAAUACAAAAUUAGGCAUUCGGGUUAACAAAUUUGAUCAAGAACUUGUUAAUUGUUCAAUUUCUAUACUUCAACCGCAUCAGAUCCACUAAUUAACAGCGCAUAAACAUUCAAAUACUCACUCAAUCAUCCAAUUAGCAAAACGAUAACAAAAAGCAUGCCCAGAUCCAAAACUUGGAAUUACAAAGUAAAUUGAAAUCAUGCGUUUCAAAAAUACAACAGAUCCAUGAAAAUUUUGAGAAAUUGAGAACGAACCGUGACAGGUCCGGAACCGAAACGGAUGCUGAGCGGCUGUGGUGCGCAAGAGAGAAGCAGAAUUUCGGCGUCCCCUUUCGCUUAAUAUUAUGCUGCUGCCAAUAGACCGAACAGGCUCGGAGGGUUGACGGAACUAACUACUUUGCUUUCUUCGGAAUAAACGGUGGGAACGGCGAUGAGAAUUAUAUUCUCUACGCGCUAAUAUGGUGGGCCCCAGCCCACUGCGGAAGCAAAGUUAGAUUGGAUCUUGGAUGGGCGGGUUCAUUGUUUUUUCCUUCCUCCAAAUUUAUUUAUUUUAUUUUUUUUGAAAUAUGCACAAAUCAAUUUUAAUCGUUCAGGACUUGUAACUGAGCAGCGUGUUAAGGUGAUUAAUUGCGGGAUAAAUGAGAUAAGCGGAUGAGUGAUUUAUUAUCUUCACAUGCUGAUUACAAAUUAAGUACACUUUAUGCUUUCAGGUUAGUAGAACAUGUCAAACUCUCAACAGAAGGUAACUGAUCUUGUGAAAUCAUAAAUAGAUUACAAUUAAAUUUGGCAUAUCAUGUAAAGUGUAAAACUUCUCAAUAUUUUUAAUUAAAAUUAAAGGAUUUUGAUAUCUUCUUUGAAAAUGCUCAUUACUUGAUCGGAAAACUUAUAAUUAGUUAUUAACUUUUUAUCAAAAUUUUAAGCGUGACCAUAUAAGUAAUGACAUUCUAUGUUUUCAAAAAAAAAAAAGUAAUGACAUUCCCUAUUCAAGAUUAAAACCUUCUUGUGUGCAUGUGAUAAUUAUUUUUUGAACAAGCUGCAAUUACAACGACGAUCCUCUAUGUAUCUUGCUGGACAUGUAGUCGUAAUACAUGUAAUGUGAUUUAGCUACUUUCAACUCUUUAGUAUCCUGUUAACCAUCGUCAUAAUUGUAUUUGCAGCUUCUUUUCUGACUUGAGCAACUUAGCACCUAACCCUCUUUUUUUGCUCAGGAGAGGGGACAAUUGAGAACAAAGUGGCGAAUGGGUGUGUAAUGCGUGAGAAUCUGCAUAUUAUGACGUUGUGGCAAGUCAAAAUAGUGCGCCAACUCUUUGCAUCCAAAUUUGAAUUCUUAUCGCAUAAAUUAAAAUAAUUUACAAUAAAUAUCGCCUUGUCAAAAAUAAAAAUAUAAAAUGAAUGUGAUUUACGGCUUUUUUCCGUUCGAUCAUUCUUAUUCUUUAUGAAACUGCAUUGUUAUCAUCAUUAUUAUAUGCUUGUUAUAGUGGUGGUUAGCAAUUUUAGAAGUAAAACCCUCAUCAAAGUUGUGGUUGUAAAACUUUAAUCUUUAAAAAUAUCGUUUAAUCUAUACCAUUAGGGUGUGAUUAUGUAGCAAUAUUGCCAAUAACGUUGCAAUCACUGUAUUUGGUAGGAACGUAUAAACAUGGAUCUGCUUUUUCUACAUCUAAAACACCUUUGGAAGUGAAGAUUAGAAACUUAAACUUUAAGCCAAGAUGCGUUGCAUACGACCUUUAUGUCAUUUCCAAUACUAUCUUUAGCUAACUCACGAUGCCAAUUAUGUUUUUGUCUUUAUCUCGACCGGUUCAUGAGAACAUGUUCACGUGUUUAGUUCAAGAGAAUGACUUACAUAGAACGAGUUUAUCGUCGCGUGACAUUCUUUUUCAAUAAUACAAUGUCAUGUGUUAAAAAGUUACACAUAUAAUUUUUUAUUGGAACGGAACACGCUACAAUAGCGAUGGAAGCGUUCCGUUUAAGUUGUUCUCCUAGCUCAAUUACGGAGUGCAAGGCUCUUAACCUUGUAGUAGUGGUUUGUGCUAAUUAGGUAGGAGUUUUGGUUACUUUAUAAAUACGAGAUUAUGUGUUAAUAAAUUCGAACGUGAAUAAGCAACGGAAGUUUGAAUAAACGUUUUAAAUUAAACAAAGUUCUGAAACUUACAACAAAUAGAAAUCUACAAAUUACAUACAUCAAAAUCUCUUAAAUUCCCCAUUGAAUACACCCCUCUUAAGACCAUCUCCAACUCAUGAGAUAAAGCUUAAAAUAUAAGCUUUAAACCCCCCCCCCAAGCCAUCUCCAACUAUGGGCUAAAGUAAGCGUUGGGGAGAAAAUAUAUCUCUAGGCUAGAUUCCCUCAGGAUUUAAGUCUUAUUUAAAUUAUUCUGGAUCUACCAAACUAUCAUAUUUCAAACUUUUUUUUUUGUUUUUCACUUAUAAUUUAACUGCUAUGAUUAGAUGAGAUCAAAUCUAAUGGUAAAAAAAAGAUUUGACGGUCCAAAAUUAAAUCAAACGUCUAAAAUAAUUUAAGAAAUUACUUAUCAAUACUUAUAAAUACUUUAUAAAUACUUAUGUAUUUGUAUGAUUUUUAAUUACAUAUUAAUUUUUUUUUCAUAGAGUUUAUUUUUUGUUGUUAAGACUUUAUUGAAAUUACUAAAACAUCAUCAACUAACGGGUGCUAACGGAUUGACCCAAAAUGACCUAUUAUUUAACGGGUUCACCCGUUAGUGACCCGACCCGUUAAGCAUCCAUUUAAAUACUAAUAUUAACAGGUCGGGUUAGGUCGGGUUAACGGGUCGGGUCCAAAAUGCCAGAUCUAUUGAUAAGGAAGGAGGUUGGUGUUGAUGCGGAGGUGGAAAGCAUAGCGCAUGACAUUUGGGCUAUUACAUGAUGUGGGGACUGUUUCAUUCGAGUUUGUUCGUCGAGAAGGCAACCAAGCGGUACAUUCUGUUGCAGCAUUUAUUCAGAAAACUAGAGGUUCUUUUGGAUGGGAUUGUAUUGGUCUCGAGUUCCUUUUUAACAUCUUGGCUGAAGAUGUAAACAUUUCAAUUGGGAUUUAACAUAAAAUCUAUCUUUUAUGGAAAAAAAAAAGAAAAAAAAAUUCAGUAUUUUUCCAUUGUAACUUGGAAAUGUAAAAACAUCCUUGUGUUUUAUUUAUCCACAAUGACACAAAGGAGAGCUGCUUAAGACACCGCAACACCACCAACUUUCAGAUGCAACCAAGUGUAAAGACAAAAAAGACAACCUUCCUAACAUAUAGCAGACUCACAUUUCCCAGCUGCUUGAUAACAAUGUCAGCCAACACUUUUAUAGUUGAUCCUUACGGAUGAGCAGAGGUAACGAACAAAGUAGAAAGACAUGAGAAAGCCAAUGGUGCCAGUUGACAGCAUGAUUGCAGUUGCCAUGAUCAAUGAAUAACCGAGGUAAAGGAUAACCGAUGCAAGCCCACCCAAACCCUGCAGGUCAAAUACCAGGUAAUUGAUGGAGUACAGGAACACGUAAAAGGAAGCUGAACCUGAGGCAAAGAAAGCCUUCCACCACCACCUCCAAUCCCCCACACAAAGAUGCAUGUAUGUGAUAACUACUGAAACUUCAGCACAAACGAUAACCA